UUUUUUUUUGUUCUAUCCAAGUUGAUACUAAUUUUUUGUAUGUCCAACUGCUAGAAAAGAAACAAUUUUAUCCAAAAUUCAGUACGUGGCCGCACACAGCGAAACCAGCCCAUUUAUUUCCUGCCCAUGCAGCUGAGAACCCUUAUUUAUCACAAAGGGCGGCAAAUAGACGAAGUUUCACAUAUGGCGCCCAGUAUUGGGACGGCCCUUUUUUAUUUUCGUUCUCUGUUAUGCUUCUUUUCCCUUUUUCUUUUCUCUUUCCUUUUCCCUUUUUCUCCUCCAAGUUUAUUUCUAUAUUUUUUCCUUUUUUCGUUACUUCAAAUUUUCAAUUUUUCAGAAUUUUAGUUUUUGAUUAAAUUUCCGUAAAAUCUCUAGAAUUAAUUUUUUUGUUCCCAUUUUGAAUUUUUAUCCAAACUUUAAUUUUUUCUUCCCAUUACAAAAUUUAUUCAAAACUACAGAAAAUGUACGCAUUUUAGUUUUUUUUAUGUUUUCCAAAAUUGUUUGAUAUUUUAAAAAUAAAUUGCAUUUUAAAAAUGAUACAAAUUCGAAAAAUAUUCAUUUUUAUUGAGGUGUUCACAAAUUCAAAGUAAUGCUUGUGUUAGAAAAUGUUUUUGAAAAUUGUUUCAAUGUUCAAAACAUGUUUUCAUUUUCAAAAAUUGUUCACAUAUUCAAAAAAUGUUCGGUUUCUUAUAAAAGGUUAAUGUUUUCUUUUUUUUGUUAAUUUCAAGAAAUUGUUCACGUAUUGAAGAAUAUUCAAAAUAUCAUAAUUAUUAAUUUAUUUUUUGAUAAGUUCAAAAAAGAUGAGAGAAAUAAAAAAUGUUUUGACUGGUACGCUACAGUAUAUUCUUAAACAUUCGCGCUGGCCAUUUGUUAACAAGAGCUAUUUGUUCAAGUGGCUAGCAACACGUGGUCGAGUUUUUUAGGUUGUGAGUUUGAUCCUUCAACUCAGUGGUUGUUUUCAAAAAAAAUUCGCGCCUUACAAACACAUGCCGUUUUGGUGCCUGCCACUGGCCUGGGCAGACUCGAACUGUUGUGCAUCUCACGUGCUAUUUGACAAUAAAAGAGAAUAUGUUGGUUGACUAUAAGUAAAAGAAAUUGUGGGCAUAUGUCAAUAAAAGAGGAUAUGUUGGUUUGGCUGACUAAAAAUAUGUGGACAAGUGAGCGCUGAAAUAAUUACAGAGAAUAAACUCUAGUAAAGUUGGGACUACCUGGUUAUGUGUUGAUUAUACCAAUGAAACGGGAUUCGCUGCAAUUCAUACUAUAUCCGUUAUGCCAUCAUAGGAGAGAGUGGUUGAAGCAACUAUGCCUUGAAGGUUGUCGUGCUACCACAAAAUGAGGAGGCGACCACAACCUAGACACGGUGGCGGACCCGAACAAAAAAAAGGCACAAGUUCGGUGGUGGCCACCACUCCGACCAACCCCAUCACUAUUAAGAUCUCGUGGGCCAAACAUGACCCGUGAGAACAUCGCAGCUCCUCGCUCUGUAGCCCCACCACUGCGGAGACCGUUUUGAUGGACACAUGAAUUAUCUCUCCGAUGCUUCUUGUAAAAAAAUCUCUCUCGUUGCAAUGCACGGGCACAUGUGCUAGUAGAAAAAAAAGUCAAUUGUGCAUGCGACUUGGGGAGCAAAAUCCCAAUGGGGACCCACAAACCUUAAGAGCAUCUUUAAUUGAUGAUGCAGACACAAAAAUAAUUAACUUAUACAUCUUCAAGGUGUUGGGGAACGUUGCAGAAAUUUAAAAAUUUUCCUACGGUUUCACCAAGAUCCAUCUAUGAGUUCAUCUAAGCAACGAGUCAAGGGAGUGAGUUUGCAUCUACAUACCACUUGUAGAUCGAGUGCGGAAGCGUUCAAGGGGAUGGUGAUGAGGGAGUCGUACUCGCCGUGAAUCGGAUCACCGAUGACCAAGUGCUGAACGGACAGCACCUCCGCGUUCAACACACGUACGGUACGGACGACGUCUCCUCCGUCUUGAUCCAGCAAGGAGGAAGGAGAGGUUGAGGAAGACAGCUCCAACGGUAGCACGACGGCGUGGUGUUGUUGGUGCAGCAGUUCUCCGACAGGGCUUCGCCAAGCACGUACGGAGGAGGAGAGGUGUUGGGGAGGGGAGGGGCUGCGCCUUGGCUUGGGGUGUUCAGCCCUCCCCUCACCCCUCUAUUUAUAGGGGGAAGGGGCAAGGGGGCCGGCCCCUCUAGAUGGGGGCGGCCAGGGAGGGGUGGCUUGCCCCCCAAGCAAGGGGGGCGCCCCCUUCUAGGGUUCCCCCCCAACCCUAGGCGCAAGGGCCCAAGGGAGGGGGGGUGCGCCCAGCCCACCAGGGGCUGGCUCCUUCCCACGCAGCCCAUGUGGCCCCCCAGGAGGGGUGGCCCCUCCCGGUGGACCUCCGGAACCCUUCCGGUGGCCCCGGUACAAUACCGGUAUGCCCCCGAAACUUUCCGGUGUCCGUUUGACAACUUCUCAUAUAUAAAUCUUUACCUCCGGACUAUUCCGGAACUCCUCGUGACGCCCGGAUCUCAUUCGGGACUCCGAACAACAUUCGGUAAUCACAUACAAAUCUUCCUAAUAACCCUAGCGUCACCGAACCUUAAGUGUGUAGACCCUACGGGUUCGGGAGACAUGCAGACAUGACCGAGAUGCUCUCAGGUCAAUAACCAACAGCGGGAUCUGGAUACCCAUGUUGGCUCCCACAUGCUCCUCGAUGAUGUCAUCGGAUGAACCACGAUGUCAAGAAUUCAAGCAACCCCGUAUACUAUUCCCUUUGUCAGACGGUAUGUUACUCGCCCGAGACUCGAUCGUCGGUAUCUCAAUACCUCGUUCAGUCUCGUUACCGGCAAGUCACUUUACUCGUACCGUAAUGCAUGAUCCCGUGACCAGACACUUGGUCACUUUGAGCUCAUUAUGAUGAUGCACUACCGAGUGGGCCCAGUGAUACCUCUCCGUCAUACGGAGUGACAAAUCCCUGUCUCGAUCCGUGUCAACCCAACAGACACUUUCGAAGAUACCUGUAGUGCACCUUUAUAGUCACCCAGUUACGUUGUGACGUUUGGUACACCCAAAGCAUUCCUACGGUAUCCGAGAGUUACACGAUCUCAAGGUCUAAGGAAGAGAUACUUGACAUUGGAAAAGCUCUAGCAAAACGAACUACACGAUCUUGUGCUAUGCUUAGGAUUGGGUCUUGUCCAUCACGUCAUUCUCCUAAUGACGUGAUCCCGUUGUCAAUGACAUCUGAUGUCCAUAGUCAGAAAACCAUGACUAUCUAUUGACCAACGAGCUAGUCAACUAGAGGCUUACUAGGGACGUAUUGUAGUCUAUGUAUUCACACAUGUAUUACGAUUUCCGGAUAACACAAUUAUAGCAUGAACAACAGACGAUUAUCAUGAACAAGGAAAUAUAAUAAUAAUCUUUUAUUAUUGCCUCUAGGGCAUAUUUCCAACAGUGACCACCACAACCCGCCGAGCCAGGGGUCUCUCAGUCUUGCCGCCACCACUAUGUCGCCACAAGCGGAGUCCUCCGGUAGUCGCACGGUCGUCCAGAGGCUGUUGAAGCAGCCGCCACCCACCCCAAACGGGCUUUGUGCUGCCCUGCAAUGCUCCGACCGGCCAUCGGCCGGUUUCUUCCACCUCGCACGCAAUGUGUUCGACCAAAUUAUUUGUUGGACUAGGAGGUUUACAUCACCAAACAUACAUCAUCUGUUGGAGUAGGAGGUUUACAUCACAAAAAUAUACAUUAUUUGUUGGGGUUGGUUCUUUUUUGGUGAUGUAAAAAUCACUUUUUGGUGAAGUCUAUUAUACAACAUCCAUUUUUACAUCUCCAAAUUUACACAUCUAUUGGAGAUGCUCUAAAAUGAAAGAAAAACCCGACUCACACGGGAUAAAUGAAAAACAGAUGGCCAAAAAUUAGGAGAAGUGUUACUUAAAUCUCUCCUUCCAACUAUAGAACUAAUUAAUGCUAUUGCCAAACAAUAACUUCAAACGAGGCAAUCAAUAUUGGAGAAGUACAGUUCAGAAAUGUGUUGUCUAAAAGAGGCAAUCAAUAAUGAUAUUACUUAAGUCAACAUUGUACGAGAUAACUUUGACAAAUAAUAACUUCCUAAUUUUGGGAACGUGUCUAAAAGAGGAGAAACUUUAAUUUUACUUCAUUUAUGUCUAUAUAAUGAGGUUCAUACUACGAAAAAGACAAUAAAUAAUUUCAAUUUUAUCGCUCGAUGUCUACUGCAUGGGAUUGGGAUGAGCUAUAGCAUCGGAUCUCUCUUCUCUUAACCUCUCUCUCUAUAUAUACGGGUCAUGUCAUGUGUUGCUAGCAAAUAUUUCACAUCAACAACCAAAGUGAUUUUUUUUCGCAGGUAUUUUUUUAACAACCUAAGUGAUUGACAACCUAGUGUUUUAUCAGGUGGGGUAUGGACAAGUACACAAUUCGCAUCCUUGCACUAUCCCUCGUGUCUCUACAGCUCGUAUGCUCUCCUACUGUUGUACAAUGUAAGCAUACCAAUCAAUUUUUAUUUCUUCACUUCUCUUGGAAGUCUAUAUGUAGUACAGCUAGUAAGGAGGGUUUUUUUGUUUAAUCUCUUGUGUGUUUAUUUAUUCUACUCUAAAGUAUACAAUUGGAUAACAAUUGAAUAUUUGUUUGUUAUUCCAUAGGCCGAAUCAUGGUUGACAUGGAUAUCGAGAAGAUCAAUUUACCAAACGGACUAUGCGCUCACGAGAGUUGGAUUCAUUGCGGCGCUCAUGGACUAUGCGACUGUUGUUUGGUAGAUUCGAUCUGCUAGUCGACCAUGGAUGAGUGCACGAGGGAGUGUAAAAAAUCCUCGUCUUCAAAAGACAUACUACGGGCCAGGACAUCCCCUCCUCCUUUACCCGCUCCUUAAUUUUCCAGCCUAGUCAAAUUGCUUACAUGCAUAUUUACUGUCCUGGGAAAUGAAAAUAAUGCCUAGUAUAUGUGAGGAAAUACAGUUGUGCAAUAAGAUCGAGUAAUACUCUAGCAAUUGUUGUUGAGUAUUUGGUUUGGCAAAUUGCAUCUAACCUUUUGCCAAUUAUUGCGGGCUAAGUUCUAGUAAUAAUGCAACCUAGGUACAAUGUGAGGCCUAAACCGGAAGUGCUUUUCCUCGAUACACAUGCACCGAGCUAUUGCUGAGCGGCCAUGAGUCUCAUGGAAACAAGAUCUUAAUUGGUUCUGAUCAGCACUAAAACACAUCUCAUGUUUUACGAAGAUACCCAAGCAAAAUUUACACAUUGAUUUAAGAAAGUUGAUUAAUAUAUGCAUAAUUUGUUAAUACACUCCGGUAAUUAUAAUAAAAUGGCUGCAUCGCCCGGAUGGAGAGGCCGGGGGUACAUCCUUCUUUUCAAAAAAAAAUUAUAAUCGAAACUGGUGGUUUGUAAAAGAUAAAGCAGUAAUACGUAAGGACAUCUUCAAUGCUGGCCCGCAAAUUAUCUCCUGAAUUUGUCCGCGCACUGCGGGGNNNNNNNNNNNNNNNNNNNNNNNNNNNNNNNNNNNNNNNNNNNNNNNNNNNNNNNNNNNNNNNNNNNNNNNNNNNNNNNNNNNNNNNNNNNNNNNNNNNNNNNNNNNNNNNNNNNNNNNNNNNNNNNNNNNNNNNNNNNNNNNNNNNNNNNNNNNNNNNNNNNNNNNNNNNNNNNNNNNNNNNNNNNNNNNNNNNNNNNNNNNNNNNNNNNNNNNNNNNNNNNNNNNNNNNNNNNNNNNNNNNNNNNNNNNNNNNNNNNNNNNNNNNNNNNNNNNNNNNNNNNNNNNNNNNNNCAUGCAAACCUGGCAAAUUUUCAUAUAAACCGGAGCACACUCAUUUUAAUUCAGACAUUUUUUAAUAUAAACCGGAGAAAAUUCAUUAUAUUUUGGAUAAAUUUUAACUAAACUCCACUCUCAACAUAAUCUAAAUGAUUGCCGGCGCCCGUUCCUCAUGUCCGACCGUAAACCCUGAGAACUGAAGCUCUGGCUCCUGCUUUCAUCUUUUCUAGUUCCGCAUCAACGCUCUCCAGCUCUGCCUCCGCCACGGCAACAUGAGCGGCCAAUAGACCGGCGAUGAUUAAUCCGCCAAGCUUAGCAUCAGCAGGAGGGAAGGAGGGGUGGCCUUCUUCGGCCCCGAGCUGCGGAGACCUACCAUGCACUACUCUUCCUAGCUGUCGGCGGCGCCCGCGGACGUGCCAACUUUGUGGUCGUGGCGACGGGGCACGGCCGUGGCGGAGAUGGCGGUGUGCUCCUCGUCGUCGCUCUUGCCGAACACCUCGUCCUCCGCCUCAUCAGUCUCCUUAAAGGCGACCUGUAAUUCUGCCUGAUGGUGGCGGUACAGCUAGCGGUCACUGUGGAUGUCACGGGUGGAGCAGUAGGAGUAGAGCAGUGCCUCCUGCUCCACCACGUCCACGUCUGGUACGAUGUCCAUGCAUGCGGCGAGUUGCUCCCUUCGCAGGCCAGUGCUCAUCUAGGAGGCCAAGGCUGUAGUCCUCGUCGACCUACACCUGUCGGAACUUGGCCUCCUGCUCCUCCUGCGGCAUGUCCAUGUAGUGGGAACGGUCCUCGCCGAUGGUGAUGCCUGGAUGCACCGUCGAGGAUGGUGGGGUCAGCUCGUCCUCGGACGUGUCCUCCAUUGGGAUGUCAUCAGCCUCCGUCUGCCUACAGGCCUGCUAGCCGGCAGCAAUGGUGGCCAUCUCCUUCUUCUGCUCGGACGAGAGGUUGUCCUAGAGGGCUUUGGAGUGCCAGGAGGCCAUGGAGGGCGUGGUGUGGAGAAGAGAAAUGGACCAGAGGAGGAUGACUGCCGCUGAAUAAAAAGGUGAAACACUUUGUUGCAUACCAUUGGAAGUUCUUAUGUGAGGUGUUUCAAGUUGAUUAACCGAACUCAUCAUGUUGUUGAUCGGCAUAUGAAUUUCUGGGGUUGCUGAUGCAUGAGAGUUGGAAUACAUAUGGUGCAUGUUACUAGUAUCAUAAGAAGUUGAAGCAUGUAAGUUACUUUAAAUCGGCCCUUGCACCUAAUUAGAUGCAUGAUUGAUAAAACUAGGGCUAGCCGGUACAUUAUGCUCAUUAAGCGAUCUAAUAACAACAUAUGAAUUAUUUGCGUCUACAUAGGUGAGUUGGCUACUCAUAUUAUCUUCGUAGAUUGCAAACCCUAGAUGACGAUCUCUUCCUAGGAAGAACGAGCUAGAGAUAGUUCAACGCUUCGUCUCCAGCGGAGUCAGCAAAAAGUGUGUUAGCACACGAACAUAUCACCAUAUACUCUCGACACCGGAGGUGAUGCAUCGCAGCUUAUGCAGAAAGAGACCCGGCCGGAAGUGCGGUACACAAGAAAUCCGGUGGACGCUUUUGUAGACCCGAAACCCCACAUGCCCGGGAGGGACCCGUCAGGGCACGCGGCGGCUAUGGGAUGCCCUAGGUCGACUUGAUCGCCCUUAGGGCCUUGUGGAUUGCUGCCCUCCAAGACGAAGAAUGAGAAAGAAGAAGAACAAGGGAGAAGGAAAAGAUAAAGAUAAAGAUAAAAGGUGGUAGCUUGAUUUGUUCGAUUAUGUGUUGUUUCAAUCGGCCAUCACCCCUUACAUUUAUAUGAGGCGGCUGGACUCCCCAUACAAGAAAAGGACCCAUAUCCCGUCGAAAACAUUGAAAGUUAACCUAACUCGGAAUAAGAGGUCCGGAACUUCCGGUUCGACCCGGAACUUCCGGACUCAAACUAUAUCAAGUAGCCCUCUUGCACUGAACCUGCAGGUCGCAUAUGGCUUCGGAUCAUGAUGAUCCAAAAAAGCAAAGUUUUUCAUCUUGAAACGGAGAAAAAUUAGUAUGUAGAAUUUUUGUUCAUCCGAGGUCAUCUUGAUAUUGGUUUUGGGUCUGCAAAUCUGCAAAAAAUAUUGAAACUGCAGUUUUCUCAGCGCACAUUGGGUGCAAUGUUUCUGUAAAUCCUGGAACUUUUGGGAUUCCCCUGAAACUUUUGUCCGGAACUUCCGGGGCAGAUUUAUAUAGCAUAUUGUUUUGGCUCUAACUUUUGUGUAAGAAUUCAGAAUGAGACGAUUUUUAUAUCAAAAUCUACCGUUUCAACGAGGUGAAAACAGUCCGUGUAGAACAUGUUCUCAUAUGAGGCCGUCUUGGAGGCGUAAUUGGCCGAACAAUACUCAGAAUACAAAAUCUUUGUAUUGUGAGCAUACUUUCAGCUCUUUAGAUGAGAUCAGAUGGUGAUGACCCAAACAUCAAAGUUUCUCAUUUCGACGAUACAAAACUUUCUCAUGUUGUGCACUUUUCCAUUUGAAGUCAUCUUAAUUAAGUUUUUGACCAUGACAAAAUCGGAUGUCUACACCUACAACUACAACUAUGUCUACGAGCGGAACCUAAACAACUAUGUCACUACAUUAGACGCCACGGUCAAGCCCUUCAUGGGCGACCUUGCGUUUGAGAAGCUCCACAACCUAUCCUACGACGACUUUAACGACUUCACCACCAUCGUCUUUGUCAAUAUCACGUCUUACAACAAAUGGUGCUACUCGAGCCCCUACUAUUAUUGAGCUCCGUUAUGAAAGCCUGGGUCUAACCCAAGUUGGUCACACCUAGCAAUGGGGAUGUUUGUAUACCGUUACCUUGUUGAAGACAUUACUCGGAUAUGGUCGAAGUGGUUCUUCAGGGUAUAAACCUAGAUUCUGGCCUAGAUCCAGUGACGGCAAAGCUUAAGUGUCACUCCCUUUCUGAAGGCGUUACUGUUGAAGAACAUCAUCGUCUGUGUGAUGAUGUGAGAUGAUUGGUGCGAAUAUGGUCAUCGUUAUAGUUUGCCGAUUGCGGAUUUGAUCGCUUUGGGCUUUUUUUUCUCCUUGCCUACACAUAGCCUUUUGUCUUGUAUAUGCCUUGGUUGUUUGCCGUCGUGUUUCUGUGUGUGUGUGUUUGAUGUUGGUUGUAUGCAUCCUACCUAUGCAGAGGCCAGACAUGUACUUAUUAUGUUUUGUAUUUUCUUAAUGUUUCAUUUUAAGUUAAUAAAAUUCACCCUUUGUCGAAAAAACCCCAUGUGCUUUACUUCUCACCGUCGAAGGGAGAUAGGCCAGCUGUCUGGCUUGAGAGGCGGGUGGAUCGGUCGAUACAGGAGGAAAGAAAACCUUUGAACGAGUCGCGAGAGGAGGUUNNNNNNNNNNNNNNNNNNNNNNNNNNNNNNNNNNNNNNNNNNNNNNNNNNNNNNNNNNNNNNNNNNNNNNNNNNNNNNNNNNNNNNNNNNNNNNNNNNNNNNNNNNNNNNNNNNNNNNNNNNNNNNNNNNNNNNNNNNNNNNNNNNNNNNNNNNNNNNNNNNNNNNNNNNNNNNNNNNAGAGUCGCGAGAGGAGGUAUACCAAACCUCUGGUCACUCCUUAUAUAUAGUAAAAAAAAAGAGGUGGAUCGCGGCCCAUAAUUAGUCUCCUCUUGAGGAGUACGUACGCACCACAAUCCACAUAUGAAGGUAAUCAGCAGGCUAUAGGUAGCUCGUGCCGUGAUCGGGAGGAACUAGUAUCCGGACUCGUGUACAAACAUCGCGAAACAAUCAAGAUUAAAUAUACUACUCCUACUAUAUAUACCCGGCUAAUCGAUUAGCUGCUUUUGUGCCUCCCUAGAGCCGUGCAUAGAUUGAUCGAAGAAAGAUGGCCUUGGCGUCGCUGCCGGACGACCUUGUCCUUGAGGUUCUCGAACGUGUCAAAGACGUAGCCACCCUCUUCCGCUGCGCGACGGCAUGCAAGGGUUGGUGCCGCCUUGUCGUCGCCAACCCCACCUUCCUUCGCCGCUGCUUGCCGGAGGACGCAUGUUAUCCCUUUGUUGGCUUCUUUACGCAGCAACGGUGCAGCGACGGCGUCCCCUUCAUUCCAGGGCCGCGUCCUGUUCUGGACCCCAGUCGCCGUUUCCUUGGCUCCCUCGUCCCCAACAUCAACGACAAGUUUAACCAGCCGGUGCCGCUCACCUCACGCCAUGGCCUCCUCCUCGUGCGCCUGAACCGGUAUCAGGGUUGCGGCCUCCUUGGCGUGUGCAACCUGAUCGCCGGCACAUUCGACGUGCUCCCCCCUCUAGAGCAUACAUGGAGUUCCGACAACAACCACCUGGUUGGCUAUGCUAUACUGACGGCUAGAGACUGUGCGAGCUCGAGGGACCACCCCGAGGAGCAGCAGUUGCCCUUUUUCAAGGUGAUGAUCCUGACCAUCGAUGUGAACAUGAUGCAGUACAAUCUCCAAACAAUUUCAUCGGCCAAUGAGUCGGGAUGGAAAAUAUCCUUCGGGGGUCUAAAGAACAAGAGCGAGAGCAUCUAUAUGGUGCUUAGGCAGCACAACGCGGUGGUGUGCCGCGGAAUGGCGCAUUGGCUCUUUUCGAGCACAUCGGGCUUGUACACGCUAGAUGUAGGUGCCCGGACUGAUCACGUGUCCUUUACAAACUUGUUGGACAUGGGACGGAUCGAUAGCUACUUUGGUCGCCCUACUUAUGAUGCACCCUACCUCGCUGUCAACGGGAAGGGGAGGCUCAUGUUGGUCUACUUGAACAAAGGAGGUUACUGGUUGCAGAUAUGCACAUCUCACAACAACGGGAGGUGGCACCAUGCCUUGGCACGCAAGCUAAAACAACCGAACCAGAAGAAAAAUGAGAAGAAGACUCAAGGAAAAGUUCUUUACACUUGCUUGGGAGAGAAGAACGGAAUGUUGAUCGUCAAGGACAACCAUCAUGAUGCCUACGUUAUUGAUAUCAAUACGGGGGUGGUGCAAGAGGUGAUAGAUUCACCACACACUCGUCGCCUCAAUCGGGGAAAGAUUGUGCCCUUUGAAAUGGAUUGGCCGGCCUUCUUUGUUUCUCAGCUUGCUGUGGUACCUACAUGGUAGGAUUCAUCUAUUUUUGUGUUUGCACCACUACACCUGUAGCUUGAAACAUAAAUGUUCGGUUGAUUGUGAUCACUAAAUGUACUCAUGCAUGUCAAGCGGGCCACAUGGUUGCACAAGCUUUCUUAUGUGGUAGUAUCGGCUUCACUGACUUCUAGUUAUAUAUUGGCACAUUUUAUUAGUACGAUCUNNNNNNNNNNNNNNNNNNNNNNNNNNNNNNNNNNNNNNNNNNNNNNNNNNNNNNNNNNNNNNNNNNNNNNNNNNNNNNNNNNNNNNNNNNNNNNNNNNNNNNNNNNNNNNNNNNNNNNNNNNNNNNNNNNNNNNNNNNNNNNNNNNNNNNNNNNNNNNNNNNNNNNNNNNNNNNNNNNNNNNNNNNNNNNNNNNNNNNNNNNNNNNNNNNNNNNNNNNNNNNNNNNNNNNNNNNNNNNNNNNNNNNNNNNNNNNNNNNNNNNNNNNNNNNNNNNNNNNNNNNNNNNNNNNNNNNNNNNNNNNNNNNNNNNNNNNNNNNNNNNNNNNNNNNNNNGAAGAUCAGAAGGUACCCUUCAAUAAAGAAUGAUAAUAUAAUCUUUUGUAAUCAAAUUAGACUACUCAAUAUUUUUGAUCUGCAUGCUAAUAUGAUCAUAGCUUUAUUAAAUAACUUUAAGAUUCGUGCAAACUUUUAAGGGGAGGUGUACCGAAGCAAGACUCAUUUCCAAGAACUUGUAAACUAACUUGACUCACAACAAGACAACUCCUGCUAAUUAAUCCUAACCAACACAAACUUGCAGUUAUGCCUACAUGCAUCUCCUCCAAGUUUAUGCACGGCUGGCUGGGCGGUUGCUGGGGCCAUUUACCGCUAGCACGUCACUGGUGUUGCUUGCUCCAUGGGAGGUUUCACUUGCGCAUGGUCCACCGUUGAGCUAUAAAUGUUCAUACUCUAUUUGCUAUGGUUUCCUGUUGAUUCAGUUGUAUGUUUGUAAAAUUAUGAUGUGCCUCAUUAAAUCGAUUUGUUAUUUGAGGAAGACGUUUGGUCUGUCGCUACCGAUUGCACAAACGGGAUCGUGGUGGAGUCUGAUGUGGGCUUUGUCCUCCUAUAAGUGGGAUGCACCCACCACGAAAGGUCAAAACACACUGUUGUGGCAACAAUUUUGUUCGCCAUUUUAGUUUGGACAGAUCCUUUUAUGUGUGUUAAGAAAAAUAGGGGGAGGAGGAUGUUGUAGAAGUACAGGAGCCGCAAGGGUGAUAGUAAGGAUCUGAAGGCUUCUUGCUCUUUCUCCACAUUGACCUGAAGCAUGUGUUGGGGCACAUCUGUGUAAGCAGCUUGCGAGUCCUUUGUUUCAAGGAAGUAUGGGAGCUGGUUGGAGAAAUUGUGGAAGUGUGGCCUGUUUCGUCAGUCUUAGUUUUUUUUAACGUUAACAGUAUGCAAAUCCCCUCUGGUAGUCACAAGAUUAUUUUUCAACACUGUUAUCAUGAGUCGACCGCUAUGGCUCAUGAGCUAGCUCAUGUUUGAAGGGAUAAGCCACCAGGAGUGCAGCUAGAUGCCUCUCUGACUUCAAUUCAAUUUUUAUUUAUUGAUGUUUUAACUAUUAUUUAAAUUAGUAUAAUGCCCGUGCGUUGCCACGGGCCAAAAAAAUUAUAUAUAGAGAUAGUACCAUUCAAAUAAAUUGUAAUUCAUCACGUGGAUGUUGCAUGCGACUUAUGAUUAUAUUGCUAUAAAUAUCGGUUCUUCUAAUACAUAUUUUCUCGUCCCAUGUAUGGAGAGGGGAUGAAGUGAAGCUGCUGCCACUCACGAUGGUGAUGUUUGUCGAUGGCAUUGCAACGGAAUUUUUUUUGUACAAACUCGAUUUUUCUAAUCAGAAAUGUUUAUUGAACUUGACAUAAUAUGGUUUUCAUUCACAGUGUCAAGUAUUCACUCUCACCCGCUUCUUUUUAGAGCAAAAGGCCCCAACCCGGUUUCUUCUAGAAAAUGAGACCAGGUGUAGCAAUGAUACCCUUUAUGGCCCCUAACAGGGCAACAAUGCGAUGUGGAAGAACUAAAAAUAAAAUGCUAAAAGCAUGAUUUACUAAGGAUAACCGUUCACAUGCCUAAACAGAGUUGGUCGGUGUCGGUAUCAAUGCCUGAUGAUUCGGUGAUUGAAGUGACAAGGCACGACGAAAUAGCAUAAUAGACAAUUAGGAAUUGCAGCGUCAAAAGAAAUUGGAGCGAUUCGAAGAGAAACAAGCGCUCAGUGAAACUAAGGCAUCACGAUGUCCAGGAAUCGCGGGCCAUCUAGGUGCCCUUCUUUUCCUUUUAAGCAGGAGGAGCAGAUGUGUGCACAAUGACGUAAUGUGCCUAGCAGCUAGGUGGACAUGCUAAUGUGGACCAUGGGCUAAUGAAUGUUAAGACUGAAAUAUUAUCAUCAAUUGUGCACUACAUAUCUUAUCUUCACAAUGCAACAUGAACAGGACUCGUGUUUAAUACAGCAAACAGAACAUAAAAUUAGAAAUUGCGGGGUUGUUUGGCUGGAGGGACGGUAAUUAGGGAGGGGUGGUGGGGUGGAUUAUGAGUUUGAGGGUUGAACUCCUGUCAUUUUAGAAAGUUUAAUAUACCUUGGCACUUCAUGAUGAUCCGUCACAGGAUGCAUUUCAAGAUACAAAUCAGCCAUUCAUAAUUUUUGUCUGUCUUACCAAACAUGGAAGUGAAACUAAAACCAGAAUUCACAUGCCUAAUCCCACCAUGAUCGCCCACCCUGUCCCAUAUUGAUGUCAAAGCCAAACAAGCCAGAGAAGAUAUAUAGAACAAUGCAAUGUUGGACAAAAACUAUCUUACAUGAAUAGUCCAUUGUCAUUCUCUAACAGCUAGCUUCUGGUUAGGAUCACCAAAUGUACGACCGGAGAACACCAAACUACUAAGAUCAAUGAAGAGAGAAACUAAACAUUUGAAAAGUAGGCAAUGAUAUAAAUAAUAAUUUAGAACUUCAUCAGUUGUUGACACCAUAUAACAAUCAAGAACACAGAAGAUAUGUGACUGCUAAUUACUCGACAGAUGUAAUAUGGAAGCUCAAGUUCCAUCUGUAAUACCUACAAUGUUAGGAGUCAUCUUAACCCAAAUAGGCAUCACGGCCUUCUCAUUUAUCCAACCAGAAACCUCCUCUAACAAGGCAUGGUCCUGUCAAACAGUGGCACAUUUUUCGCUCAGGCAUGCCAUGUUGGCAUGAGAAAUAAUCUCAAGAGCAUCCUAUUUAACCAAUAAUCUCAAGAGCAUCCCGCGAGAUCUACCUCGCCCUCUGGCGGUACCGCUAGCGUCGGGCUAAACUGCAUGCCGCCUACAAGGAGUUCAACGAGGCAGCGGAUGAGGUGUAGGGCAAGACCGACGACGAGGAGGACAUCGCCAGCUGCGCCCCACCGCCAUGACCACGAAGCCGGCACGUCCGCAGGCGUCACCGGCAAUGAGGAAGAGUAGUGUACGGUACAUCGCCGCCCCUCAGGUAGAGCCAUCGCUCCUUCUGGUUUAUAUGAAAUCCACCAUGUUUGCAUGAAUCUCUUUGGGUUUAUUUCAAAAUCCGUCUGGUUUGCACGAAUUUCGUCCAGUUGGUCCAAAAUGUUGUUGAAAUAUAUGCAAGCAGCGUUGGAUGGUGGCCUCCGACAUUAGUGCCCCCCCCCACCCCCUACGUCCGCGGACGGGUACAGGAGGAAAAUUGCGGGUUGGCAUUGGUGAUGCCCUUAAGCUUGUGGAUUAUCAAAUUGUUACUUUCUCAUCAUAUUUUAGGUACAAACAUUGGUGUUGUUUUGCUUAGUAUGGAAGCAUAAACAUUAUUAUGCCUGUAUUGCUUCAAAAGUGUCAUUCUUUGCUAGUAAUAUCUGCAUUCCGCAACUAAUCUUUGCACGUUGUACAUUUCCGCUUAGUAGUUUUCCUAUGUCCAAUGGUCUAUUAGGUUGCAUUGUCAGAAGAUCUGGCAAAAGUUUUUUUUAGUCAUCUGGUUCAUGUGUAAUUUACCUUGACAUACCAAGCUCUUGUUGAAUAAAAAUACAAUUGGUGGCCAUUUUUUUGCAUGAAUAACUGAAUAAAUGCAUCAUGCCUCUUCGCUUUAAGUACUCCCUUCGUCAAAGUUUACUCGGCGUGGUUUGAUUCUCAUGCAUUUCCACCACCCGAGAGAUUUUAGUCAUGUUUGGUUAAUAAAUUAGGGCGUGGUAACGGCAAUCAAACCCCCAAUUUUUUGUCCAUCCUUUUUUUCCUUCGCAGGUGUGUACGCGGGGUGGAAAAGCUUUAUGCAUAGUGCGAACACAUUUACUUUUGGUAGGUGUGAACACAUUUGGCACUCUGCAUGCUCCUCUCGUUCCUUCGGACUCCUCUUCUUGCUGGCUAUUCUUCUUAUUCUUCUUUCAUCAAUAUACAGCAACGGAUGAAGCACUCCAUCCUGCAUAGAAGAAACAUAAGCGAUGGCUGAAGGUGAGGAGCGUGGAGAGGUUGUGGUGGUGGAGGACCAGAUCAUGGCGGAUUCGAAUGGAGAGGCCGUCGUGGUGGAGGUGGAGAGCAAAACCAAACACCCAUUAGAUGUUUUGGAAGGUGAUCAAGUCAUGGUUGAUGACGAAUAGUUCGUCGAUAGUUUUUGCUCAUGCCUCCAAGUCAUGUUGAUGGAUUACGUGUUGGAAAUAUGCCCUAGAGGCAAUAAUAAAAGUGUUAUUAUUAUAUUUCCUUGUUCAUGAUAAUUGUCUUUUAUUCAUGCUAUAACUGUAUUAUCCGGAAAUCGUAAUACACGUGUGAAUACAUAGACCACAAUAUGUCCCUAGUGAGCCUCUAGUUGACUAGCUCGUUGUGAUCAACAGAUAGUCAUGGUUUCCUGGCUAUGGACAUUGGAUGUCGUUGAUAACGGGAUCACAUCAUUAGGAGAAUGAUGUGAUGGACAAGACCCAAUCCUAAGCAUAGCACAAAGAUCGUGUAGUUCGUUUGCUAGAGCUUUGCCAAUGUCAAGUAUCUCUUCCUUUGACCAUGAGAUCGUGUAACUCCUGGAUACCGUAGGAGUGCCUUGGGUGUAUCAAACGUCACAACGUAACUGGGUGACUAUAAAGGUACACUACAGGUAUCUCCGAAAGUAUCUAUUGUUUUAUGCGGAUCGAGACUGGGAUUUGUCACUCCGUGUAAACGGAGAGGUAUCUCUGGGCCCACUCGGUAGGACAUCAUCAUAUGCGCAAUGUGACCAAUGAGUUGAUCACGAGGUGAUGUGUUACGGAACGAGUAAAGUGACUUGCCGGUAACGAGAUUGAACAAGGUAUCGGUAUACCGACGAUCGAAUCUCGGGCAAGUAACACACCGAUAGACAAAGGGAAUUGAAUACGGGAUUGAUUAAGUCCUUGACAUCGUGGUUCAUCCGAUGAGAUCAUCGUGGAACAUGUGGGAGCCAACAUGGGUAUCCAGAUCCCGCUGUUGGUUAUUGACCGGAGAACGUCUCGGUCAUGUCUGCAUGUCUCCCGAACCCGUAGGGUCUACACACUUAAGGUUCGAUGACGCUAGGGUUAUAAAGGAAGCUUGUAUGUGGUUACCGAAUGUUGUUCGGAGUCCCGGAUGAGAUCCCGGACGUCACGAGGAGUUCCGGAAUGGUCCGGAGGUAAAGAUUUAUAUAUAGGAAGUCCUGUUUCGGCCAUCGGGACAAGUUUCGGGGUCAUCGGUAUUGUACCGGGACCACCGGAAGGGUCCCGGGGGCCCACCGGGUGGGGCCACCUGCCCCGGGGGGCCACAUGGGCUGUAGGGGGUGCGCCUUGGCCUACAUGGGCCAAGGGCACCAGCCCCUAGAGGCCCAUGCGCCAAGAUAAAAGAAAAAGGGGAGAGUCCUAAAAGGGGAAGGCACCUCCGAGGUGCCUUGGGGAGGAUGGACUCCUCCCCCCCUCCUUAGCCGCACCCCUUUCUUGGAGUAGGGGGCAAGGCUGCGCCUCUCCCCUCUCCCCUGCCCCUAUAUAUAGUGGAGGGGAGGGAGGGCAUCCACACCUGAGCCCUUGGCGCCUCCCUCCCUCCCGUGACACCUCCUCCUCUCCCGUAGGUGCUUGGCGAAGCCCUGCAGGAUUGCCACGCUCCUCCACCACCACCACGCCGUUGUGCUGCUGCUGGAUGGAGUCUUCCUCAACCUCUCCCUCUCUCCUUGCUGGAUCAAGGCAUGGGAGACGUCACCGGGCUGUACGUGUGUUGAACGCGGAGGUGCCGUCCGUUCGGCACUUGAUCAUCGGUGAUCUGAAUCACGACGAGUACGACUCCAUCAACCCCGUUCACUUGAACGCUUCCGCUUAGCGAUCUACAAGGGUAUGUAGAUGCACUCUCUUUCUACUCGUUGCUGGUCUCUCCAUAAAUAGAUCUUGGUGUUACGUAGGAAAAUUUUUUGAAUUUCUGCUACGUUCCCCAACAGUGGCAUCAUGAGCUAGGUCUAUUGCGUAGAUUCUUUGCACGAGUAGAACACAAAGUAGUUGUGGGCGUUGAUGUUGUUCAAUAUGCUUACCGUUACUAGUCCAAUCUUGUUUCGACGGUAUUGUGGGAUGAAGCGGCCCGGACCGACCUUACACGUACUCUUACGUGAGACAGGUUCCACCGAUUGACAUGCACUUGGUGCAUAAGGUGGCUAGCGGGUGCCAGUCUCUCCCACUUUAGUCGGAACGGAUUCGAUGAAAAGGGUCCUUAUGAAGGGUAAAUAGCAAUUGGCAUAUCACGUUGUGGUCUUGCGUAGGUAAGAAACGUUCUUGCUAGAAACCCAUAGCAGCCACGUAAAACAUGCAACAACAAUUAGAGGACGUCUAACUUGUUUUUGCAGGGUAUGCUAUGUGAUGUGAUAUGGCCAAAAGAAUGUGAUGAAUGAUAUGUGAUGUAUGAGAUUGAUCAUGUUCUUGUAAUAGGAUUCACGACUUGCAUGUCGAUGAGUAUGACAACCGGCAGGAGCCAUAGGAGUUGUCUUUAUUUUUUGUAUGACCUGCUGUCAUUGAAGAACGCCAUGUAAACUACUUUACUUUAUUGCUAAACGCAUUAGUCAUAGAAGUAGAAGUGGUCGUUGGCGUGACAACUUCAUGAAGACACGAUGAUGGAGAUCAUGAUGAUGGAGAUCAUGGUGUCAUGCCGGUGACAAGAUGAUCAUGGAGCCCCGAAGAUGAAGAUCGAAGGAGCUAUAUGAUAUUGGCCAUAUCAUGUCACUACUCUAUUUGAUUGCAUGUGAUGUUUAUCAUGUUUAUGCAUCUUGUUUGCUUAGAACGACGGUAGUAAAUAAGAUGAUCCCUUACAAAAUUUCAAGAAGUGUUCUCCCCUAACUGUGCACCGUUGCUACAGUUCGUCGCUUCUAAGCACCACGUGAUGAUCGGGUGUGAUGGAUUCUUACGUUCACAUACAACGGGUGUAAGACAGUUUUACACAGCGAAAACACUUAGGGUUAACUUGACGAGCCUAGCAUGUGCAGACAUGGCCUCGGAACACGGAGACCGAAAGGUCGAGCAUGAGUCGUAUAGUAGAUACGAUCAACAUGAAGAUGUUCACCGAUGAUGACUAGUCCGUCUCACGUGAUGAUCGGACACGGCCUAGUUGACUCGGAUCAUGUAAUCACUUAGAUGACUAGAGGGAUGUCUAUCUGAGUGGGAGUUCAUAAGAUGAACUUAAUUAUCUUGAACAUAGUCAAAAGACCUUUUGCAAAUUAUGUCGUAGUUCACGCUAUAGUUCUACUGUUUUAGAUAUGUUCCUAGAGAAAUUAUAGUUGAAAGUUGAUAGUAGCGAUUAUGCGAUCAGUAGAAAGCUUAUGUCCUUAAUGCACCGCUUAGUGUGCUGAACCCCAAACGUCGUUUGUGGAUGUUGCGAACAUCGGACAUACACGUUUUGAUAACUACGUGAUAGUUCAGUUAAAUGGUUUAAGUAGAGGCACCAAAGACGUUUUCGAAACAUCGCGGAACAUAUGAGAUGUUUCGAGGGCUGAAAUUGGGAUUUCAGGCUCGUGCCCACGUCAAGAGGUAUGAGACCUCUGGCGAUUUUCUUAGCCUGCAAACUAAGGGAGAAAAGCUCAAAUCGUUGAGCUUGUGCUCAGAUUGUCUGAGUGCAACAAUCACUUGAAUCAAGUGGGAGUUAAUCUUCCAGAUGAGAUAGUGAUGUUUCCCCAAAGUCAUUGCCACCGAGCUGCUAGAGCUUCGUGAUGAACUAUAACAUAUCAGGGAUAAAUAAGAUGAUCCUUGAAGUAUUCACGAUGUUUGACACCGCGAAAGUAGAAAUCAAGAAGGAGCAUCAAUUAAUGAUGGUUGGUGAAACCACUAGUUUCAAGAAGGGCAAGGGCAAGAAGGGAUACUUCAUGAAACGGCAAAUCAGAUGCUGCUCCAGUGAAGAGACCCAAGGUUGAACCCAAACCCGAGACUAAGUGCUUCUGUAAUAAGGGGAACAGUCACUAGAGCAAAAUUACCCUAGAUACUUGGUAGAUGAGAAGGCUGGCAAGGUCGAUAGAAGUAUAUUGGAUAUACAUUAAGUUAAUGUGUACUUUACUAGUACUCCUAGUAGCACCAGGGUAUUAGAUACCGGUUCGGUUGCUAAGUGUUAGUAUCUCGAAAUAAAAGCUACGGAAUAAAACGGAGACUAGCUAAAGGUGAGCUGACGAUACGUGUUGGAAGUGUUUCCAAGUUUGAUGUGAUCUAACAUUGCACGCUCCCUCUACCAUCAAGAUUAGUAUUAAACCUGAAUAAGUGCUCUUGCACCUAAAGGAAUGGUUUAUUGAAUUUUGAUCGUAGGGAUACACAUUUUCAUGCCAAAAGAUAUAAGAUAGUAAUGAUAGUACCACUUACUUGUGGCACUGCCAUGUAAGUCAUAAUGGUAUAAAACGCAUGAAGAAGCUCCAUGUUGAUGGAUCUUUGGACUCACUCGUUUUAGAAAAGUUUGAGACAUGCGAACCAUGUCUAUUGGUGUAUACGCAUGAAGAAACUCCAUGCAGAUGGAUCGUUUGGACUCACUUGAUUAUGAAUCACUUGAGAUAUGCAAAUCAUACCACAUGGGCAAGAUGACUGAAAAGCCUCGUUUUCAGUAAGAUGGAACAAGAUAACAACUUAUUGGAAGUAACACAUUUUGAUGUGUCCAAUCCAAUGAGUGCUGAGGCAUGCAGUGAAUAUCGUUAUGAUCUUACUUCACAGAUGAUUCGAGUAGAUGUUGAGAAUAUUUACUUGAUGAAACACAAGUCUGAAUUAUUGAAUGGUUCAAGUAAUUUCAGAGUGAAGUAGAAGAUCAUUGUGACAAGAGGAUAAAAUGUCUAUGAUAUGAUCAUAGAGAUGAAUAUCUGAGUUACGAGUUUUGGCACACAAUUAAGACAUUGUGGAAAUUGUUUUACAAUUAAUACCGCCUGGAACACCAUAGAGUGAUGGUGUGUCCGAACAUCAUAGUUGCACCCUAUUGGAUAUGGUGCGUACCAUGAUGUCUCUUAUUGAAUUACCACUAUCGUUCAUGGGUUAGGCAUUAGAGACAACCACAUUCACUUUAAAUAGGGCACCACGUAAUUCCGAUGAGAUGACACCGUAUGAAUUAUGGUUUAGAGAAACCUAAGUUGUCGUUUCUUUGGGGCUGCGACGCUUAUAUGAAAAAGUUUCAGGUUGAUAAGCUCGAACCCAAAGCGGAUAAAAUGCAUCUUCAUAGGAAACCCAAAACAGUUGGGUAUACCUCCUAAUUCAGAUCCGAAAGCAAUAUGGGUUGUUUCUAGAAUCGGGUCCUUUCUCGAGGAAAAGUUUCUCUCGAAAGAAUUGAGUGGGAGGAUGGUGGAGACUUGAUGAGGUUAUUGAACCGUCUCUUCAACUAGUGUGUGGCAGAGCACAGGAAGUUGUUCCUGUGGCACCUACACCAAUUGAAGUGGAAGCUUAUGAUAUUGAUCAUGAAACUUCGGAUCAAGUCACUACCAAACCUCGUAGGACGACAAGGACACGUACUACUUCGGAGUGGUAAGGUGAUCCUGUCUUGGAAGUCAUGUUGCUAGACAACAAUGAACCUACGAGCUAUGGAGAAGCGAUGGUGGGCCCGGAUUCCGAUAAAUGGCUCGAGGCCAUAAAAUCCGAGAACGGAUCCAUGGACUUUGGUGGACUUGCCCGAUGAUCGGCAAUACAUUGAGAUAAAUGGAUCUUUUAAGAAGAAGACGGACGUGGAUGGUAAUAUCACCAUCUAUGAAGCUCGACUUGUGGCGAAGUGUUUUCCGACAAGUUCAAGGAGUUGACUACGAUGAGAUUUUCUCACUCGUAGCGAUGCUUAAAGUCCGUCGGAAUCAUGUUAGCAUUAGCUGCAUUUAUGAAAUCUGGCAGAUGGAUGUCAAGACAAGUUUCCUUACUAGUUUUCGUAAGGAAAGGUUGUAUGCAAUACAAUCAGAAAAGUUUUGUCGAUCCUAAGGAUGCUAAAAGGUAUGCUAGCUACAGCGAUCCUUCUAAGGACUGGAGUAAGCAUCUCGGAGUUGGAAUGUACGCUUUGAUGAGAUGAUCAAAGAUUUUGGAUUUAUACAAAGUUUAUGAGAAACUUGUAUUUCCAAAGAAGUGAGUGGGAGCACUAUAGAAUUUCUGAUGAGUAUAUGUUGUUGACAUAUUGUUGAUCAGAAAUGACGUAGAAUUUCUGGAAAGCAUAUAGGGUUAUUUUGAAAGUGUUUUUCAAUGGAAAGCCCGGAUUAAGCCUACUUGAACAUUGAGCAUCAAGAUCUAUAAGGAUAGAUCAAAAUGCUUAAUAAUACUUUCAAAUGAGCACAUACCUUGACAUGAUCUUGAAGGUGUUCAAGAUGGACCAGUCAAAGAAGGAGUUCUUGCCUGAGUUGUAAGGUACGAAGUUAAGACUUAAAGCUCGACCACGGCAGAAUAGAGAGAAAGGACGAAGGUCGUCCCCUAUGCUUAAGACGUAGGCUCUUCAGUAUGCUAUGCUGUGUACCGCACCUGAAGUGUGCCUUGCCAUGAGUCAGUCAAGGGGUACAAGAGUGAUCCAAGAAUGGCUCACAGGACAGCGGUCAAAGUUAUCCUUAGUAACUAGUGGACUAAGGAAUUUUCUCGAUUAUGGAGGUGGUAAAAGAGUUCGUCGUAAAGGUUACGACGAUGCAAGCUUGACACCUAUCCGGAUAGCUCUGAGUAGAGAGACCGGAUACAUAUAAUGGAGCAACAAUUUUGAAUAGCUCCAAGUAGAACAGUUAUUUGGAAUAGCUCCAAAUAGAGCGUGGUAGCUGCAUCUAGGAGAUGACAUAGAGAUUUGUAAAGCACACACGGAUCUGAAAGGUUCAAACCCGUUGACUAAAACCUCUCUCACAAGCAACAUGAUCAAACAUAAAACUCAUUGAGUGUUAGUCACAUAGUGAUGUGAACUAGACUACUCUUGGGUAUUAGUCACAUGGCGAUGUGACCUGUGAGUGUUAAUCACAUGGCGAUGUGAACUAGAUUAUUGACUCUAGUGCAAGUGGGAGACUAUUGGAAAUAUGCCCUAGAGGCAAUAAUAAAAGUGUUAUUAUUAUAUUUCCUUGUUCAUGAUAAUUGUCUUUUAUUCAUGCUAUAACUGUAUUAUCCGGAAAUCGUAAUACACGUGUGAAUACAUAGACCACAAUAUGUCCCUAGUGAGCCUCUAGUUGACUAGCUCGUUGUGAUCAACAGAUAGUCAUGGUUUCCUGGCUAUGGACAUUGGAUGUCGUUGAUAACGGGAUCACAUCAUUAGGAGAAUGAUGUGAUGGACAAGACCCAAUCCUAAGCAUAGCACAAAGAUCGUGUAGUUCGUUUGCUAGAGCUUUGCCAAUGUCAAUUAUCUCUUCCUUUGACCAUGAGAUCGUGUAACUCCUGGAUACCGUAGGAGUGCCUUGGGUGUAUCAAACGUCACAACGUAACUGGGUGACUAUAAAGGUACACUACAGGUAUCUCCGAAAGUAUCUAUUGUUUUAUGCGGAUCGAGACUGGGAUUUGUCACUCCGUGUAAACGGAGAGGUAUCUCUGGGCCCACUCGGUAGGACAUCAUCAUAUGCGCAAUGUGACCAAUGAGUUGAUCACGGGAUGAUGUGUUACGAAACGAGUAAAGUGACUUGCCGGUAACGAGAUUGAACAAGGUAUCGGUAUACCGACGAUCGAAUCUCGGGCAAGUAACAUACCGAUAGACAAAGGGAAUUGAAUGCGGGAUUGAUUAAGUCCUUGACAUCGUGGUUCAUCCGAUGAGAUCAUCGUGGAACAUGUGGGAGCCAACAUGGGUAUCCAGAUCCCGCUGUUGGUUAUUGACCGGAGAACGUCUCGGUCAUGUCUGCAUGUCUCCCGAACCCGUAGGGUCUACACACUUAAGGUUCGAUGACGCUAGGGUUAUAAAGAAAGCUUGUAUGUGGUUACCGAAUGUUGUUCGGAGUCCCGGAUGAGAUCCCGGACGUCACGAGGAGUUCCGGAAUGGUCCGGAGGUAAAGAUUUAUAUAUAGGAAGUCCUGUUUCGGCCAUCGGGACAAGUUUCGGGGUCAUCGGUAUUGUACCGGGACCACCGGAAGGGUCCCGGGGGCCCACCGGGUGGGGCCACCUGCCCCGGGGGGCCACAUGGGCUGUAGGGGGUGCGCCUUGGCCUACAUGGGCCAAGGGCACCAGCCCCUAGAGGCCCAUGCGCCAAGAUAAAAGAAAAAGGGGAGAGUCCUAAAAGGGGAAGGCACCUCCGAGGUGCCUUGGGGAGGAUGGACUCCUCCCCCCCUCCUUAGCCGCACCCCUUUCUUGGAGUAGGGGGCAAGGCUGCGCCUCUCCCCUCUCCCCUGCCCCUAUAUAUAGUGGAGGGGAGGGAGGGCAUCCACACCUGAGCCCUUGGCGCCUCCCUCCCUCCCGUGACACCUCCUCCUCUCCCGUAGGUGCUUGGUGAAGCCCUGCAGGAUUGCCACGCUCCUCCACCACCACCACGCCGUUGUGCUGCUGCUGGAUGGAGUCUUCCUCAACCUCUCCCUCUCUCCUUGCUGGAUCAAGGCAUGGGAGACGUCACCGGGCUGUACGUGUGUUGAACGCGGAGGUGCCGUCCGUUCGGCACUUGAUCAUCGGUGAUCUGAAUCACGACGAGUACGACUCCAUCAACCCCGUUCACUUGAACGCUUCCGCUUAGCGAUCUACAAGGGUAUGUAGAUGCACUCUCUUUCUACUCGUUGCUGGUCUCUCCAUAGAUAGAUCUUGGUGUUACGUAGGAAAAUGUUUUGAAUUUCUGCUACGUUCCCCAACAUUACGAUCAUCACAAAGCACGUGUCAACGAGUUGUUCGCCAAGCUUCAAGACAUCUACACCAAGUGAUCCGAGCCCUCUGCACCGAUCGACGUUCAGCAAUCGACGUGUGUGGCAUGCAUACAUCUGUGGGGUGCACCAAGUGUGGCGUCCAUGGUGACCGUACAAUUUUUCUUUGCUUGGGAUGUAGGCUGCCGGUGCUAAAAGAGUUGUGUUCUUGCGACGUGUGAGGCAACCAUAUUCUUUACUGCAAUACUUGGUGCAAAGAUUGUGCAACGGUCGCGGCGAUGGACAAAACUGGGGUUUUGUGUUCUAUGCGGUCGCAACCCCACCAAACUUUCAAAGGGUGAAUAUAAUGGCGUAGUCAUGCCCGAUAGCGAGGCAAAUUAGUAUGGAGGGUCGAUGAACUUCUAUCAUCGAGUUAUGGAUCAUAUAUGUUAGUUUGAGUUGAAGUGGGCAUCGAUGGAAGUUUGAGUUUAAGUGGAUCAUCUACUCUUAUAUAAGUUGGGGUCGAAGUGAGCAUUAAUGUAAAAUUUAUCUGUAGUGGACAAUUUAAGUUGAGUUCAAUUAGCUCAUCUAUAAAAGUUUUCAUGUUUUGAGCAUUUAUGUAUAUAUUUUUUGUUGUAGCACCAUGAAGUACGUAAAUGCUCAUGUACUCAUGGUGUGGCAAAGAAUCAUGAUUUAGUUCAAGUCUUUUGCGCAAAGAAGCAAGUUAAAUGAUGCAAACUGUUAUGAACUUGCACCAUUUAACUUGCUUUUUUGUGCAAAAGACUUAACUAAAUCAUGAUUCUUGGCCACACUAUGAGUACAUGAACAUUUCUUCAUGGUGUUACAAAAAAAAUACAUAGUCUGAAAACAUUAAUACUUCUAUAAAUGAUCCAUUGAACUAAACUUAAAUUAUCCACUACAAAUAAAUUUUACAUUGGUGCUCACUUCAACUCGAACUUAUAUAAGACUAGAUGAUCCACUUAAACUCAAACUUACAUAGAUCGAUGAUGCAUAAUUCGAUGAUAGAAGUUCAUCGACCCUACAUACUAAUUCGCCUCGCUAUCGGGCGCGACUGCGCCAUUGUCAUCGUCUUUUGAAAAUUCGGUGGGGCUGCGACCGACCCUGCUUUAUCCAUCGUCGCAACCGUUCCACAAUAUUUGCACCAAGUAUUGCAGGGAAGAAUAUGGUUGCCUCACAUGUUGCAAGAACGCAACUCUUUUGCCACCGCCUACAUCCCACGCAAAGAAAAAUUGUACGGUCGCCAUGGACACCACACUUGGUGCACACCCACAGAUGUAUGCAUGCCACACACGUUGAUUGUUGAACGUCAAUCGGUGCAGGGGGCUCGAAACGCUUGGUGCAGAUGGCUUCAAGCUUGGUGAACAACUCAUUGGUGCAUGCUUUGCGAUGACCAUAAUCCGCCAACAUCACUUCGAGGCGUGCGCGGCAAGUCUCGACGAACUACUCGUCAUCAACCAUGACUUGAUCACCUUCCACAACAUCCAAGGGGUGCUUGGUUUGGCUCUCCACCUCCACCAUGAUGGCCUCUCCAUCUGAAUCUGCGAUGAUCUGCUCCUCCACCACCAUAGUCUCUCCACCCUCCUCACCUUCAGCCAUCGCUUCUGUUACUUCUGUGCAGGAUAGAGUGCUUCAUUCGUUUCUUUAUAUAGAUGAAAGAAGAAGAAUAGCCAGCAAGAAGAGGAGUCAGAAGGAACGAGAGGAGCAUGCAGAUUGCCAAACGUGUUCACUCCUACCAAAAGUAAAUUUGCUCGCACUAUGCAUGUAGCUUUACCACCCCACGUACACACCUGCAAAGGAAUACAGAUGGAUAGAAAAAUGGGGGCUUGAUUGCCAUUAUCACACCCUAAUUAAUUGUUCAGUAAAACAAACGCGCCUGAAAUCCCUCCAGUGGUGGAAAUGCAUGAAAAUCAAACCACGCCGAGUAAACUAUGACGGAGGGAGUCGUGAAGUGUGGUCAUCUUUAAAUGUUAAAUAAGAAACCCCAUGGCUCAAAUGAAGAUGGUUGGUUCUUCGAGUUUGCGCUCAGUUCCUUGUUAGGUCAUGCUAGAUUGUUAAGGGAUCAUUUGUCCCAAUUUUCCACCUUGCUUUAAAAAAAUCCCUUUGUAUCAUAGGAGGGUUCAAUUUCAUGCGUGGUCGCAUAAAUUGUUUCAUAUAAUAAAACUUACGCGCCCAGAAAUUAGUUCCCUUUGGCUGAAACUCAAAGUUGCAAUACGAAGACAGUAAAAUUCUCCCGAGUAGAUAAGUGCUAGAUCACUUCUAGACAUUAAUGUUCUUUGUGUUUUAAAUUAUCAAUUCUUCUGUGAAGCUAAUCUUGAUACGUGAAGAUGUAGCAUAAUUUGUUAACGUGUUUUGAGCAUCGUCUAGGUGUCAAUCUUAGCAUCCUCUAUAUUAUGUAAAAUGAUGGAUUUCUAAAUUGAAAAACUACAACACAUGGUUAUGUCUUUGGAAUUCAAAGUGGGGUUGUGGAAGGGUCGAGGGAUUAUGAGGCGGAUGUGUCAUUGACGGUGAUGUCGUGCUUGGAUUAGGGAGGUGAGAUGGUGAUGGAAGAAGUAGCAGAGUGAUUUUAAAGGUAUAUGUUGGUUAUGAUUGGUAUCAAACCACGAGAAUAUUUAUGGCCCGUAGCAACGCACGGGCAAUUACCUAGUUUGAAUCAAAGGAGCUCUACACUUUGGUCUGGUCAGCCAACCUUCUCCCUUUUUUGGGUAAAACUGAGACCCUCCAAAGAGGGCCAUCCUCAGCGUGUUAAUUAAGAUUAAAGUAUAUCAUAGGGGCGUAAAAGUACUUUCCUUUUUACAGAAGUAACCCUAGGAAAUAAUGAAAUUAUUAUAAAGCAGUCUAGAAAAGGCACUUGCACCAUCAAAAGCCGAUAGGCGAUACACGCGUCAGUCUUGAGUACAGGCGUUGCUUCAGACUCCUUAGCAGUCUCCACAUCACCGCCUAUGAUCGAAGAUGACCUAUCCAUGAUGGGCUGACACUCCGGCAACGACCUGCGAGAGGGCAACACCAUCAAUGGCCUGUGACACUCUAACGACUCAGUCUUGGCCGUGGGUUUUGCAGCAAUCAUAGGAGCUUUGACGAAGACCGGGGAGAAGAAAACGCCAAUGCCUUGUAUAUUGUAGAAGCAUAUGCAUCGGCGACCAGACCAGCAGACACCGCUUCAUCGGCAUAAGAUUUCCCAGCAAUGAGCCUAACAAUAAUAAUAGCUCUUUUUUCCCUUCUCAAGCGACAUUGAGCAGACUUUGGACCAUGAGAGCAUCUCCAAUAACUUGUUGGUUAGCUUGUUGGUAAAUAUAUCUAGUCAUCAACAAACAAUGUAUUAUAGAAGUACUGCAAUGGUUGUAUCUUGUAUGUAAGGUUGAUCAAUGGGAGGUGAGAGCAUCUACAACCAGACCCAUCAUAUAAGGUUGAUCAAUGGGAGGUGAGAGUAUCUUGUAUAUUGUCCUCAAUCACUUUUUUCGACCUAACUAGAUGACUACUUCAAUCAUCAGGUCCAUGCGUAACAAGCAGGCCCAUGUCUUACGCAUGGCACGCGCUCGAUUGGUGUGCCCACAUGUCCCACUCUCCCAUGCCUAGCACCCUCUCCAGUUUAGUUAGUUGAUGAGAUGCACUCUUUCAAGUAAUUAUAUGUAUUGUGCAUGUAAACAGAACCAAGUGAUGAAUACAACCACCAUGAUUCACACUUUGUUGGUAAUCAAAUUAAGCCCCCGAUUCUUCCCCUCUCCACCAAGAACUGCAACUCAUGUGGAGCCACCUGUCACAUUAUAGCCACCACCAGUCCUGCGAUGGCGCCUCCACUAUGGUAUGGGAUUUUUCUCCUCCCCUUCACCUCUUGCCUCCUCCAUGCAUCACAUCAAGAUAGCCAACUACAUCCCAUUCAAGAUCAAUCAUAUCGGCCAACAACUACACAAAAUGGAGGCAACUUGACAUCCACCACAUUCAACUACCUCCACCACGUCGAUAUGGAUAUCGCCAAUGCCAUCCUGGGAUCAGCACUCGAUGCUCAGUGCGGCCCUAAGUAACAUGUUCCCGUAGCCUAAUCCUAAGUACGACAAUUGAUAUUGACUUCUACACCAUCUAAUUUACAAGGGGGCAUAGUAAAAGAAAUUGAGGGGCAAAAUAGAAGGCGAGGUGUUGGGAUACCUAGAUAGUAGGCUAGAACAGUGUUAUUGUAUUUACACUACUCGUGUCCCGGAUUAUGUGGUGUGAAAAAAUUUGCGUUGCUCUGAUGGGGGCAAGUGGGAGAUGGUCUAGGCCUACUAUUAGUUCAGGCAGAGGAGUGGAUUGCCCAUGAUGCCUCUGGGUCGCCUUAUAGAAUGAUCAAGACUUCUUCUUCCACCUCUGUACAUCCAGUAGUUAAGGUUUUGGUUAGUACUACUCUAAACCUGGGUCCCGAUGAUUGUGAGGCAUGUGUGGAGCUCUAGAGAUGUGUGCAUGAAGAACAAAGAACCUUAAGCCGCCAAUAAAUGGAGACGUUUCCCCUCCUUGGAAACACGUUGCCUUCAUUGGUCCUGCCAUUUUGCGAGACAUGAUGAUUGCUCGGUGGCGGGGCACCACUUUGCAUUGCUUGUACGCCCCUUGGCAACAUUGCUGGCCCAUGAGAGGAUGCAGGGGCGCCGAAGUGUGCAGGAUGCAAACAUGAACAAGGAGGCAAUCUCCUCGAGCGAGAUUUGUUGCAUGCGAUUUUUCUGGGGUAACAAGGGAAACAAUUUUCACUCUUGUUCUCCCCUUGGGCAGUGCAACUCGAAGAUACCCCUUAGCAUGGUAACGAUGGAGUGAUACAUGAGUACUCGACAGCAGAAUUUAGCCACAUAAGUGCAAAGGGAUAGAAUUGCGGUGUAUACCACAAGACAGACUUGAUAGAAGCUGGUUAUGGGGUUAUAAUUAGUUACAAAAGAAAAUUUUAUCAGAGUAUUUAAACUAAAUGUAUUCUGCAUCUAGCGGAAGCAAUGAAAAUCACAUGAUGUGUUGUCAUGUAAGAUUGCUUAACUCCUCGUGAGAUUGGUGACACGAGACAGGUGAUCCAUAGAGAUAUUUUACUGACUACAAGCAGAUUGAGGGAUUCAGCAGCUUGAUUUCAUGAGAUGUUAGGGUAAUGAACAUGGGUUAAUACAAAAAACUAAGAGAUGUGGCAUUACCUGGUCAUGUCGAUAUUCGGUGAACCCAAGCAGGGCUAGCCCAUAGGCCAGGCAAAAGGCAUGAUCACCCAGGGCCCCAAGAAGGGAAAGCCCCAACUAUAAAUUAUACUAGCAAACACUAUACAAUUAUACAGUACAUUCAAAAGGUUAUUAAAUUCAUAAAAUAGAGCCUCAAUUUGUAGGAGCACAAGUUCACACCACAUGCCAAUAGUUCAUGAGUACAUAUCUAGUGGAAACCAUACAUUCAGUGAAAACAUGGAAACUUCAUCUUGGGCCGUUGGAUAGAGAAUGUGUGUUGUCGGAUGAAAAACCGUACAAAUUGCAAAUAGAACCCCACAACCAUCCUGUACGGCUGUACCUCGGUAUAGAAUAUUCCCGAUGGAGGCUGAGCCAUCCCGUUCAGCUAAUUGGGCUAGUAGAGACUGAAAAGUCCUGUUAAAACGUGCAUGUGUCCUGUUCAAACGUGAUGUCAAAAGAAAAAAAAAAUCAUGUUCAAACGUGCCUGCAUAUUUGAACGCACAAGAUUUGUCUUUUGAUGAUUCUUUUUGCUGCCUCUGACUCAAACAUGCCUACAUAUUUGGACGGCCAAGAUUUUAAUAGAACUGCAACUGUUCUGUUUGCAAUAUCAUGUAUUCAUUCCUGUGCAUACUUUUCUUUAUUGGGCAGAGUACUGUUGGACAUGCUUCUAAUUCUGCUAGCAUUGAGGGGCUAUGUGCAAACAAUCAACGCUGCCAGCGGGUGUUUUAUCGCAAAUAGCACGUAGCAGUUAUGUACGGAUCUAGUCCAUACAUACUGGAUCCAACGGCCUGCACUUAGGCUUCCAAGCUUCCACUGAAGAUGUGGUUUUCACUUGAUAUUGUCUCAUAGUUCAUAUCACGUGAAGGCAAACCAUUCCGACCAGCGAAGUUGAGUUUAAGUACACUAGUUUCUCUUUACGAUGGAUGUUUUAGUAUCGUAAUGAAAUUUAUGAUGACAAGAUUUCAAUUUUUAAAUCAAUGCACAACUUUUCAUUUGAGAAACUGGUAAGAGAUCUCAUUUGCGCCAAAUCAAACCAAGUGAAUUUAGACGAGCAUGUCAGACAAUCGAAUCAUACGAAAAAAAUACAAUCAAUGACAUUUUUGGUCGUUGAUGAUUCUAUUACCGAACUCAACUUGCAAGUCACAUUUGCUAUGCCCUAGAAGUUUCUUUGAAUUUGGUUGCCUAAUACUUCCUCCGUUCUUUUAUACAAGGUGUAUUUGUUUUUUUCAAAAGUAAAACGAGUGCAUGUUUGACUGAGUAUACACUAGAAACCACUAUUAAAAUCUUGUUAGUAUGUUUAUGAUUUACAAAUCUCUACCAUGAUAUUCAAUAAUAUUAAAAGAUAUAUGAAUACAUAAAUAUUUGUUACUGUGUUUAUGAUUUACAAAUCUCUACCAUGAUAUUCAAUAAUAUUAAAAGAUAUAUGAAUACAUGCAUAUAUAUAUAUAUACAAAUAUAUGUGUAUACAAUAUACCUUUUAUGCAAUAUUAUAAAAUUAAUUUGAGUGAUUUUUUAUAUCAAAAAAGAGAAUAUUUGAUACAUCAUAUAAUUUAAAUUUUACAGAAUCAAAAUUUUAAACGAUAUAGACUACAAAUUAAAUACAAUGAAUAAUAUAAUUAUUACUUGCAAACAUUGUUAUGUGGCUAAUUAAUAAAGAAUUUUAUUAAAUAAAAUUACAAUAUGGUUCACUUAGUUUAAAGUAAGUAUAAAAGUUCAGUAUGAAAAACAGUUGUAUCGCAUCCCCUCGGCCAGAAAAUGGUUUGGUCAUGCAUUCUUCCAGACUUUACCCUUGCCGUCUUGUUUCACCCCUAUUCAAGAAGUCCAUACAUAUCGACAAGUGAAUAUAAUAGAGAGAGAGACAGAGAAAAAAAAUUGCGUUGUUCUAUACGAAACUUGAAGAUUACUUAUGUUUUCUCUUGCUUAAUAUUACCAAACCUCUUACGAUAAAUUCAAGAUGAGCAUUUUCUAGGUAUGGUGUCCUCCUAUGUGCCACCACUUCAAACAAAAAGUAUGAAACAAAAUUAAAUAUAAGUCAAAUUGCGAACAACUAUUUCAGCAUAAUGAGUGUGCAGACAACUGUUUCAUUAGAAUAAGUGAUCCACAAAUGAUGCAGGUUGAAACAAUAUAGACUAGCAUCAAACAAACUCUAGGAUGAGAGAGAAGCCUUAAGAUCUUGCCUUCGGAUCUGAGGUAGAAGGUGUACCCAAUUGUUUUUUUAGGGUAUCCUAUGAAGAUGCACUUCUCCGAUUUGGGUUCGAGCUUAUCAUGCUGAAGCCUUCUUCUUCCUCCUCUUCUUCUUCCUAUUCUUCUUCUUCUUCUUCUUCUUCUUCUUCUUGUGCUGCAUCAUCACUUCCUCUUUGGGGAAACACCGACGUAGUUCAAUCGAACAUCACAUGUCCUUGUGUGUCCUUCACAAUGCCGAAACACAAGCAAGUGCGAUGUAGAAUUGUCGUGGUAGAAGGUGGUUCACUCUCAAGAGCUCGGAUUGUCAACUCACGUGACGUGGAAGUUGACACGAAGUCCAAGUUUCCUACACAUGCACACAACAAAACAAAGAACAUAUGCGCAUGAUAGAUAAACACAUCAUCCAUCAUGAUGGUUCUCUUCUCUUGCACAUAACUAUUAGAAGCACAAGUGCAUGGCCGGCCAAAAUUCCACGCCAUGAUGUUAUACGCACGUGUGGCAAUGUCUGCAGACUUGAAGGUUCCUAGCCAGUAGUGACGACCAUCACACUGAAACUCGACACAAAAGUGGCUGGAGGGGCGGAGGCGCACAUCCCUAAAGCCCAUCUUGCCAUUUGACGGCAUGACGGCGGCACUGCGACAUCGACACGGGCGACAGUGUAGACUGGAGACGGCGCGAGGGAGUGCAACAGGGUAAUUGGGCGGUGUGGCUNNNNNNNNNNNNNNNNNNNNNNNNNNNNNNNNNNNNNNNNNNNNNNNNNNNNNNNNNNNNNNNNNNNNNNNNNNNNNNNNNNNNNNNNNNNNNNNNNNNNNNNNNNNNNNNNNNNNNNNNNNNNNNNNNNNNNNNNNNNNNNNNNNNNNNNNNNNNNNNNNNNNNNNNNNNNNNNNNNNNNNNNNNNNNNNNNNNNNNNNNNNNNNNNNNNNNNNNNNNNNNNNNNNNNNNNNNNNNNNNNNNNNNNNNNNNNNNNNNNNNNNNNNNNNNNNNNNNNNNNNNNNNNNNNNNNNNNNNNNNNNNNNNNNNNNNNNNNNNNNNNNNNNNNNNNNNNNNNNNNNNNNNNNNNNNNNNNNNNNNNNNNNNNNNNNNNNNNNNNNNNNNNNNNNNNNNNNNNNNNNNNNNNNNNNNNNNNNNNNNNNNNNNNNNNNNNNNNNNNNNNNNNNNNNNNNNNNNNNNNNNNNAUAGUCACGAGAAGUGGCAUGACAGUCACGCGGUGGUUGGGGGGAAUGGAAGUUCACGCGGCGGUUGGGCUUGGCGCGGCCCCUUUUGGAUUUGCUUGAGCCGCACAGGUAAUGUAAAUUUGCAUCACUUGGUGCCCUAUUGUACAACACAGUCAAUCCCCCAAGUAACACUUUUUGCAUCAGUUUUUUUUAGGUGACUGUUUGCAUCAAUUGGAGUUAUGUGUUUUCCCCAUGAUGUAAACAUUUGUUAUUUUUAAAUUUAUAUCAUGUACUGGAGAUGCUCUAAAGGCUAAGUCUGAACCUUUUUGUGUGCUGUGGCCGGCCAUGGCCCAUGGACCCAUCCAUAGCAAGUUACGUGUGACAGUCCAAAAUUAAGAAAGAUUGGGAACUUCAUAGGGUUUCCUCCCUUUAUAAGCCACCGAACCCUCAAAGCCUUGGCCGCUCCGCCGCCGCAGGCCCGCAGCCUCCCAACGGAAUCAACUGAUGGCAUCUUCGACUAGGGAUCAAGAGCCAACUACGACGCCUUUGAAAGGAAAAGGAAUCAGAUGUAAUCAACGAGGCGACGAGCAAGGAGGCACCAGGACGCCUCACGUUUACCUUGUCUUCGACGACUAUCCGUUAGGAUACAGCAUCCGCGAGGUGAUACCGCCGCGUUCCGGCUCCAGCCACCAUUGCCAUACCGCUGCUGCCUCAGACCCAGACACAGUGCGUGUGGAGCCGCCGCCUCCGGUGGUCGUGCGCUUGGAGGCAGUGCGUGGGUCGCCGUCUUACUUCCCGAUAGCCUUCGGCACCAAGAUCAUGGCGGUGCACACCAGGGACCCCGACGGCCGCAUAUCGUCUCGUCCCGGGGACUCCAUGCUUAUGCUCAUGUUCGACGUCUGCGAGCGGAGCCUCACCUUUUGCGCCGGCCUGGAUUUUCUGGUCGAUCCCAUCUAUUUCUCCGUCGGCGACAAGCUCUUCUGUCUGAGCCAAGGCUUCUUCCAGAUGCUCAUCUGGGAGCAUGGCCAGGGAGCCUGGCAGCAUGGCCAGGGAGAGCUCGUGGAAAGAGCUCCCGGAUCUUCAUCGUCAGCACCAGGGAGGGCGCCACCGAGGCCACCUUUGCCUUCGACACCGAGAAGCUUUCAUGGAAGCCCCUCGGCGGUUGGGCGCUGCCCUUCGCCGGCCGUGGCCACUUCGACCAGGACCUCGGUCUCUUUAUCGGGCUCUCCAAAGAAGCCGGCUCGUCCCUAGGCCAGCUCUGCUCCUGCUACCCGGACACCCCCUCACGACGACGCUUGCCAAGGAGAAUCUCUUCAGCGAGGACCCGGCCGAGAGGCAUGAAGGCGCCACCCUCGUCCACGUUGGACCCAGCAAAUUCUGCCUGGUGCAGUGCGUCUCCAGGGAGCUGCCCCUCCUUGAACGGAGACAGUUCUUGUAUCGUUUGACUACACUGUCUCUCGAAUAUCACCACACUGGAGGCCUGACGAUUCGCGAGAGGCAGCGGGUGCAAUACUACCAAGUACCUCAAGGAACCUCUCAGCCAUUCCUCGCUCAAGAUCCUGUGGCAUUUGGGAUCUGAAAUGCUAAAAAUCAUGUCAGGAAAAGGUGUUCAUGCAAUAAAUUAAGUAGAUCUCUCUUACCUCCCCAUAUUAAUUAAUUAGUUCAUUAGUAGCUAUGUUACACUAUAUGUAUGCAUAGGGUCGGGCCCCGGCCUCACAAUCUCGAUCAAGCUACACACGUCUAGUUCGGAUAGUCACUUGUUUGGUGAGUUCCAUCGCUCUUGAAUGUAAUGAAACAUAAUUCUCAUGGAAAUGUUUUUCUUCUAUUCGAGCAACAAUGUACUAUACAUAGUUUGGUGUAAUGCAUUUUUUCAAGUUUAUAUGCAUGAGUCGCCAAUGUGUCGACAAAAUGUUGAAAAUUCAGCAUUUUGACAAAUCCCUGGCAAACUCGACUGUGUCAUUUUUUAAGCAAAGGUCAUGCCAAAAAAAUAUAAUUCAUAUGCAAUAAUUUAUGUUGGUUUUAACUUUCUUCCUUACAUAAUGCAUGUUAGAGACCGGGGAUAUAAUGGAUCCAAGAAUUAAAGGGUUCUUAACGUUGGCCUUGGAACACAUGAAGCAAAGGGGUCGUAAAGAGUUAUGUUGUCCAUGUCAUAAAUGUGACAACAUGAGUAUAUUUACGAGCAGUUCUGGCUAAUGCAUGGUUUCAUGAAGAAUUACACAGGGUGGACACGCCACGGAGAGGAUAAGAGGGAAAUGAGCAAGAAUGGAUGGACCACGAUCAUGCCGGACAUGAUGAAGAGGCCGGACAUGAUGAAGAGGUUGGACAUGACGAGUGAUUUUUUUAAAGGAGGUCAUCCCCCGGCCUCGAGUAGAUGCAUGCGGCCACUUUAUUAGAGCAAGUUCAACAAAACAAAUAGUCUGGUCUGCAAAGUACAGCUCACAGAAGGAGUAAAAUAAAAAAAAACUCAAAGCCACAACCUACCCUAUUAUGCGACUGCCAUCCAAACAGGUUGAAGAUAACCCGUACUACCAUCUCCCACCGAUUGCACCCAGUAGCCAAAUGCUCCCUGGAGCCCGUAGGAUAGCGACCACGUACGGAUCCAUGUCGUAGCCCUGAAAAUAACCUGCAAGAAGUUAAUCAUAUAAAGUUUGUUAAAAAUCAUAUCGUUCCUGAAUUUUCAUAUAGCCCAAAGAAGUGCGCAUAUUCUAAUCCGAAUACUGAACGCAAUCUCUGGAUUCACUCCAUUUAGCCACGUCCCGAACAACACAUCAAUACUAAUUGGAGGAAUAAUAUUAAAAGCUAUAUGAUCGGACCGCCAAAGUAACUUUGCGAGAGGACAAUCAAGAAAUAAGUGUUGAAUUGUUUCAUCGUGAACGCAAAAGCAACAUCGUGAACUGCCAACCCAUCGUUGCUUUAAUAAGUUAUCCUUGGUAAGGAUCACUUGCUUGUGCACAAACCACAUAAAAAAUUUAAUUCGCAAGGGAACCUUGACUUUCCAAAUGUGUAUCGAUCUUGGGAUUGGGCCAGAAUUAAUGAGGUCUAAGUACAUUGAUUUGACCGUGAACACUCCAUUACCCGUUAGCUUCCAGUUCAAGGUGUCUCGCUGAUCUGAGAGUUGAACAUCCAUCAACCUCCUCACUAAGUGUAACCAGGAACUACAUCGUUCCCCUACUAGAGACCUCCUGAAUUGGAUAUUUAAAGGUAUUGUCUGCAAAACCGUUGCUACAUAAUACUCCUUACGUUGAGCAAUAUGAUACAGGGAAGGAUAUUGGAGAGCUAGCGGUGUAUUACCUAACCAUGUAUCCUCCCAAAACCUUGUUGUUGUUCCAUCCCCAACAAUGAAUUUCACCCUAUGGAAGAAGGUUUCCUUCACUCUCAUUAGUCCCUUCCAAAAUGGUGAAUCAUUAGGUCUUACGAUACCCUGAGCGAGGGUUUUAGAGUGCAAGUAUUUAUUUCUCAGUAUUUGUGCCCACAUACCCUCUGAUUCCUGUGAUAGCCUAUAUAGCCACUUGCUCAACAGGCAUUUAUUUUUAAUCUCAAGGUUCUCGAUCCCAAGAUCCCCCUGGUCUUUUGGUCAACAAAUAAUAUCCCAUCUUGUCAGGCGAUACUUUGUCUUAACCUCGUUUGACUGCCAGAAAAAACGAGAUCAGUAGAAGUCUAGUCUCCUUCGUACCCCUUUAGGCACCUCAAAGAAAGAUAGAAGGAAUAUUGGCAUACUCGUGAGUGCCGAAUUUAUCAAUACUAGCCGUCCUCCAUAUGACAUAAGCUUACCCUUCCAGCAGCUUAGUUUCUUCUUGAAUCAAUCCUCGAUACAUUUCCACUCCUUAUUAGUUAAUUUCCAAAGAUGGAUAGGAAUGCCUAGAUAGUUGAACGGUAAUGACCCCAGUUCACAAUCGAACAAUUGCCUAUAGUUGUCUUGGUCAUCUUUGGCCUUACCAAAGAAGAACAAUUCACUCUUGUGGAAGUUUAUCUUUAGACCAGACAGUUGUUCAAACAGGCACAACACUAGUUUCAUAUUCCUCACCUUUGCAAGAUCGUGCUCCAUGAAGAUAAUAGUGUCAUCCGCAUAUUGUAGGAUAGAGACACCCACAUCCACCAAAUGGGGAACUAGACCACCUACCAAGCAUUUCUCCUUGGCCCGACCUAUGAGAACUGUCAACAUGUCUGCCACAAUGUUAAACAGAAUUGGAGACAUCGGGUCUCCUUGUCUCGGGCCUUUAAGCGUUUGAAAAUAAUGACCAAUGUCAUCAUUCACCUUUAUCCCAACGCUACCUUUCUGGACAAAAGAAUCCACCUGAUUCCUCCAUGCCCCCAUUAAAGCCCUUCAUGUGCAUGGCUUGCUGUAGAAAUAGCCAUUUAACCUUGUCAUAUGCCUUCUCAAAAUCUACUUUGAAGAUCACCCCAUCGAGUUUCUUUGAAUGGAUUUCAUGUAAAGUUUCGUGUAAGACAACAACCCCUUCUAGGAUGUGUCUUCCAGGCAUAAAGGCAGUAUGACUUGGUUGCACUACCGAAUGGGCAAUCCGUGUCGAUCUAUUGGUGGCCACUUUCGUAAAGAUCUUAAAACUCACAUUCAAGAGACGAAUGGGCCUGAAUUGCUCAAUGCGAAUUGCUUACUCUUUCUUUGGCAACAGCAUUAUCGUGCCAAAAUUUAGAUGAAAGAGUUGCAGAUGCCCAUUAAAGAAUUCAUGAAACAUAGGCAUAAGAUCAUCUUUCACAAUAUGCCAACAUUUCUUAUAGAAUUCUGCCAGAAACUCAUCUGGUCCUAGAGCUUUAUUCGGUUUCAUUUGAGCGAUCGCCUCAAAAACCACCUUCUCCAUAAAAGGUGCAGAUAAAAUCUCAUUCUCAUCUGAUGAGUGUUAUUUUUACACUCCUCUAACCUGAGUUUAAACCAAAAUAUUUCAUAAAACCGAAAUAUUCGCUCGGAUAUUGCUACUAAUGACUAAUAAAUGUUGAGGUUUCAAAAUAUCCAAUCUUUAUUUUGUUUCCACGCGAAAUAGGGUAUUUAUGGACAAAAUCAAGCCAAUACAUGGAAAUGGGUAAAGUGGAGAUAGCGGAGAUCAAGUGGGAGGCUAAUACGUCUCUAACAUAUCUAUAAUUUACCCUAAAAACAUAUCUAUAUUUUUUAUUGUUUCAUUCUAUAUAUUAUCUUGUUUGCUUUAUAUGUCAUUUUUUGUGAACAAACCUAUUAACUUAGUGACCAAUGCCAGUUUCUGCUAUUUGCCUAUUUCUUUGUUUCGUAGAAAAACCAUACCAAACGAAGUCCAAACAUGAUGAGACUUUAUAGUGAUCUUUUCUGAACCAGAAGAGACCCAACUUCGGGGAAAAGCCAGAAGACACAUGAGGGAGCGGCAAGCUCGAGCACAUCCAUGGACGGAGUGCGCGAGAUCAACACAUGGCUUAUCUCCCAACGGAGAGAAGGGUCUCCUCGGCGCCACACCUCCCGCGAGAAUGACCUAUCCAACAAGCUAAGGCUUGGUUGGACGGCGGCGUUGAUCGACGCCACCAUCGUUGUCAGCGCUCACGGUGGUGGGGGUAACACUGCCACCGCCCAUGGAAUCUAGGGCUAGGCAUUUCGUUGCAGGAGAGAAAUAGGGAAUUCUACCCAUAACAACGCAAUGACGGGCAGCUCUAUCUCACCCGUGCCUGACUAGGGAGGCCCACCCGCAGGUCAAAACCACUGUUGACUAGUGCCACAUCAGCAGCAAGUCGAUACAAACCACCCAGGGUGUUUUUUGUCUAUUAUGGGCCUGUUUAGGGGGUGAAGGGAGCAGAACAAUAGAUUAGGGGUAAUGUGAACCAUCAACUUUAUUCACGGUAAUAAAAUGGACCUUUUUCUAUUAUAUAUAGGAGGGUAUAAUGAAUUUCUUAUCUGAUAUUUUAUAUGCCUACUAGUAGAACGCUCGUGCGUUGCUAUGGGCUAUAAUACAUAAAUAAAUAAACAAACAAAUUAAUUGUACAUGUUGCGAGCGCAUUGUGACAGUUAUCCAUGUUGGCAACCGGUGCUCGCCAUGUCACUAAGAGCCCAUUGACCGUUCUUGCCCACGAGCGCUUUCAAAAUGAUUUGAUGCGAUUAACUACCUGCUUAAUUAAUUAAUUAAUGACCUCCUAAUUCUCUCCAUGCCUAAUUAACUGUCAACCAAAUUAGUUAAUUUCUAUAAGACCUACCAAGUAUUGUAGGACAUAUUUCAUUAACAAAUUUCAUGACUUUUGAAUGGGCAUACUUUAUUUCAGAAUGUAGCCUACCUGUCUCUCUAUAUGGCUAACAAGAAAUAUAAUAUAACCGUGUUCACGAACAUCUGUACAAGGCGGUCCGACGGCACGUUUUCCACCACGGCCAUCCUUGAUAUCGUGCUCCAUGCCCUGGCAUUCUUAAGCAUCACAUCAACGACAGGCCCGACCACAACAUUUUUCAUGGUGUCGCGCACGGCGUCCCUCCUCAGGGGCGCGUGGAUGCGUACAAAGAAAAAGGAUAAUGUAUGUUAUUUUUGUUGCAUUAGGAAACUUGCGGUUGUUAAUUAAUACUCCUUCCAUUCCUAAAUAUAUGUCUUUUAAGAUAUUUUAAUAUAGACUACAUAUAGAUGUAUAUAGACAAAUUUUAGAAUGUAGAUUCGCUCAUUUUGCUCCAAAUGUACUACAUAUUUGAAUCCCUAAAAAGACUUAUAUUUAGGAACAGAGUGAGUAUUGCCAAUAGUACCACCUGACACUAGGCAAUAAAUAUUGGAGAAUUACAAUUCGGAAAUAAAAACAUAGUAUGAGAUAACUCCGCAAUUACCUGCUUCCAUUCGUAUUUAUUUUGCCACCAAAUUUUGUAAACUUGGUCACUCGGCGAUCCAUAAUUCCUAUCGGAUGCUCAGACCAUGACGCCUAACCGUCUGGAGGGUACACAGUCCUCAAAGGUAACAAGCGUCGGUUCCACACAGGAACAAUCUCUUCAGUGAUGCUCAAUCACUUUGGGUUUGUAGGUGUUUGGGUUUGGGAUUUGGGUUUUCCUUACUUGAUGAUUUUCGCUCAAAGUCCUCGGAGGAUGGGAUGCUCUCAAUGACAAGUGUCGGUUUUUCGCGGAGCAGCCAAGCUAGCUAGUGGUUGUAGGGGGCGGCUAUUUAUAGCCUAGGGAGCAGCCCGACAUGAUAAAACAUAAAUGUCCUUUAAUGAUAUGACCGUUAGGUGGAAGAUAUUUUUUGACAGCUGGUGUGUAGCACAGCAACGGUCGGAUAUGUGAGGUUCUAAUUCCUGAGGGCUAUCAUGUUCCUCACUGUGUAGGCAAUCCACACUGGCGAAUUCCUAACUCCUCAGUCAGAACAAAUUCCUCAGAGGCCAGAAGAUUUUCAUCUCUGUCACUAAAGAAAUUGACUGAACUGAUAUGAGAUUUCCAAUGGCUUCACUCGAAAGGAUUGAGUAGGUGUAGGAUUUUGAGAUGAGCAUCACUUGGAAAUCAGUUUCCUUAGUAUUACCUCGACCCCCUUUAACAGUAUGAUGUUUCCUAUGACUCAAGAAAGAGAAAAUGAAACUACGAAAACAAAAGUCUUCACGCUUCAUAAUCCUCGCAUGAAUAUCCAAGUCUUCACGGUCACAUCAAUUUCUUCACUUUCAAAAUCUUCAGGAGGACCAAAGUCUUCAGCUGAAGACAUACAUUUUUAGGGGUCGAUUUUCAUCAUAAAUAUCAAACUCCUCAUCGACUUAUAGAGGCUGUGUACACUCACAAAUAUAUUAGUCCCUUAACCUAUAAAUCUUCAAUACACCAAAAUCACUAAGGGGCACUAGAUGCACUUACAGUCUCCAUGAUCAAACUCAUUUCUUCCUCAUAAGUCCCGCCAUAUACGGACACCAAAUGUGCACCCAGUAGGAUCCUCAAAAUUAAACAUUCUAGACAAUCUGGGCUCCCCCAAAUACAAACCAUAUGUGGGGGAGAAAUAUGGAUGUUCGGACUAUCCACUAUGUUAUCUCAAACACGCGGGUCCAACACAAAACCCCACCUCACAACGAACACUUUCCUUUUCCUAUCGGAGCCUCCCCUUCCUACUCGGUUUCCCUCUGUAGCAGGACAUUUCUUGCUUGUUCUCUCUCCUUCUUAUUCUUAGAAGACUCUCCCUUUCUACUAUAGCAUGAACCACCUGGCCAAUAUAGUGUCGUGUUGUCCUCGCCCGCCGAACGGCGACCGUCAGCACGUGGACAUCCUGUAGAGCAUGGUCGCUAUCCAUCUUGGUGAACGCUUCGUCGCCCAUGUCGCGAGCGCAUUGUGACCGUUGUCCAUGUUGGCAAGCGGUGCUCGACCAUGUCACUAAGAGCCCGUUGAUCGUCCUUGCCCACGAGCGCUUUCAAAAUGUUAACUACAUGCUUAAUUCAUUAAUUAAUGACCUACCUAAUUCUAUCCAUGCCUAAUUAACUGUCAACCAAAUUAGUUAAUUUCUACAAGACCUACCAAGUAUUGUAGGACACAUUUUAUUAACGAAUUUCAUGACUUUUGAAUGGUCAUACUUUAUUUCAGAAUGUAGCCUACAUGUCUCUCUGUAUGACUGAGAAGAAAUAUAAUAUAACCGCGUUCGCGAACGUCUGUACACGGCGGUCCGACGACCCGUCUUCCACCACGGCCGUCCUUGAUGUCGUGCUCCACGCCCUGGCAUUCUUAAGCAUCACAUCAACGACAGGCCCUACCAUGACGUUUUUCAUGGUGUCGCGCACGGCAUCCCUCCUCAGGGGCGCGUGGAUGCAUACACCAUAAGAAAAAAAGAUAAUGUAUGUUAUUGUUGUUGCAUCAGGAAACUUGCAAUUGUCAAUUAAUACUCCAUCCAUUCCUAAAUGUAAGUCUUUUAAGAUAUUUCAAUAUAGACUACAUACAAAUGUAUAUAGAUAAAUUUUAGAAUGUAGAUUCGCUCAUUUUAUUCCAUAUGUACUACAUAUUUGAAUCUUUAAAAAGACUUAUAUUUAGGAACAUAGUGAGUAUUGCCAAUAGUACCACCUCAUACUAGGCAAUAAAUAUUGGAGAAUUACAAUUCGAAAAAAAAACAUAGUAGGAUAUAACUCCGCAAUUACCUGCUUCCAUUCGUAUUUAUUUUGCCACCAAAUUUGUAAACUUUUCUAAAAAGGAGAAAAAUAACCUUUGACUUAUGCGCAUUGAGCUGUCCUUUAAUGAGGGUUCAUAUUAUGGAAAGGUAAUAAAUAAUUUCGAUUAUAUUGCUCGAUGCUUACUGCCCAGCCGGGAUCUCUCUUCUCUCCACCUCUCUCUCUCUCUCUACAUAUACGGGUCAUGUUAUGUGCUGUUUGCUAGCAAGUAUAUUUCUCAUCGACAACCAAAGAGAUCGACAGCCGGGUGUGCUAUGGACAAGCACACGAUUCGCAUCCUUGCACUAGCUCUACUGUCUCUACAUCUCGUAUGCUCUGCUACCGUUGCUCAAUGUAAGCACACCAAUCGGGUUCAAUUUUUCACUCAUCGAAGUAUGUACGUAUGUAGUACUAUACCCAGUGAAUGUCGCCUUUUUUCUUCUUUUUUUGGUCUAAAUAAUCUGUUGCGCAUUUAUUUAUUCCGCUCUAAAAUAUAUUAUUGCAUAAUAAUUGUUCGUUUGUCAUUCCAUAGGUCGAACCAUGGCUGACACGGAUAGCGAGAAGAUCAAUUUACCAAACGGGCUAUGCCAUAAGGUAGCUCCGUAUCGAUGCGUCAACGAGUGCUUCUGUUGCUUGGUAGAUGACUGGUGCUACUCGACAAUGGAUGAGUGCGCGAUAAAGUGUAAAUGAUCCUCGUCUUUUUCAGAAGACAUACUAGCUAGUGGCGAUGGCAUCCCCUCCAUUACCUGCUCCUUAAUUUCGCAGCCUAGUCAAAUUGGCUUACAUGCAUAUUUACUUGUCCCGAGAAACAAAUAAUGCCUGAUAUAGUAUUUGGUUUGCAAUAAGAUUGAGUAAUACUCUAGCAAUUGUCGCCGAGUAUUUGGUUCGGCAAAAGAAUGGAAUUCCAAUAGAAUCUCUUUGUAAUUUGACGAGAAAAGUGCCAAAUAGAAUGCCUGAUAUAUACUUGGUUUGCAAUAAGAUCAAGUAAUACUCUAGCAAUUGUCGCUGAGUAUUUGGUUCGGCAAAAGAAGGGAAUUCCAAUAGAAUCUCUUUGUAAUUUGACGAGAAAAGUGCCAAAAGUAUGAAUUUGUACCAAGUGUAGUUUGCCCCACUAACAAUAGUGUCUACGGCUCUACGCCAACCCUUGUCUCUAGGACGACAUUGUCGUAGGGGCGGCGCCGUCAUCAAACCCAUUAACAUGCAUGGAAGGUGCGUUUGCUCGCAUGGUCCACGUGGCAAUCUCAUAUCUAAAAUAUGAGCCUCGAACUUUCAGUGAACUUCGAUUCAUCAACAUCUUCUCAUAUAGUAUUUGCUAGUGUUUGCCCAUCACGAUGGAUCAUGGGGCAACCUUCCACACCACACUGCAAAACAACUAAAACUCUCCUCUACCGGUUAAACUUCUCCCACAUGAGGAGCUUAUUAGCAUCGUUUGCACGGACGAUGUACAUCGAUAGGAAAAAUUAUUUAUGUCCAAUGCUAUCUUCAUAGCGAAUCAAAACUGGUUCACUGGGGUAAUUAAUUGCCCCGGACGGUGACCUGCCAUUGUUGACAAAAAAACACUAACUACUUACGUAGUACUCCCUUCGUUCGGAAAUACUUGUCGGAGAAAUGGACAAGUAUUUUCGGACGGAGGGAGUACUACGACGGGGCAAACUCAGCCAUGACCUACCUAUCUUUUUGUGUGGUGUCCGGGCAUGGAUCCACACAUCGCUAGCUGAAACACACAAACUAACCCAGGAAAAAAAAACGUGCGUGAAUCUUAAAGUGACAAUCAAAGGCCAAAAAAUCGACUGGACUAAGAUUUAUUUUCAGGCAACUUGCAUGUAGCUAAAGUGAGAAAGAAAAUAGUCUUAGCACCAAGUCUUUUUAUUUCAAGAAGAAAACCUUCGGAUAUCACGGCUUCAGGAAAUACCACCAAAUCAUCUCCCCGUCGCAUCAAAGUAGGGAUAGUAGCUGCCUUUUCCAGGGCAAAAAAACAAGUUAGGCUAUCCGAGAUUUGCUCUUUUUUCCAGCUCUUUGGAGUGAAAAUAAGGAGGAACUUGUGAUUGGUUUUCUACAGGGAAGAGAGAUACCAAGCCGGGCAACUUCCCCUACUAACUACUGAACACAAAAGCCAAGGUGACCCAAAACAAUUAUUUCACUUAUUUCUAGUUUAAGAAGGACCUUGUGCGCGGUUCACGACUCCCGGUGCUUAGAGAUGCGGUUCACUACAACAGUGGUAAGAAAAGCAAGAAAACAGGUAUCAAGAGAUGGAAGUGAAAGAAGAACUGUUGAUCGACCGGUGGUUUGGGUCUUGCCUUUUAGGAUUCGGAUUCCUAUUGAAUUGACUUUGCAUACCCUUCCUCGUUUUCGUCCAUCUCCACUAUUCAAAGCGCUACUGCACAUAAGUCUACAAUGUUGAAAGUCGAAAUAAAGAAGCAGAAACGUCAAAACACUGGCAAGCCAAAGCCAACCAACCACGGGCUAAUCGGUAAAUUGUCCACACCAUCUUAAUACCAUGUUUGCAUCUCACUACAAUGAAACAUAGCGCCAAAGGGGAUUUUCCAAGGGCAUGGUGACCCACAAAUUUCCAACCGUCCGCGGACACGGAUGGGCGACUCGCGAGUACGCCAUGUUGCCAUCCAAUCGAAACCGCAUUCAUUUUGACAACAACUCAAAUCAGCCAGAUGAAAUUCAUGCAAACAAGGCCGGAUUUCAUAUAAACAUGACGGAUUUCAUAUGAAAAUGCCGGUUUUUCAUAUAAACACGACGGAUUUUAUUACAUUUACAUCAAUUAAGCGGUGCUAGUCCGGCUCUGGAGGUAUAACUAAUAUCUAAUUUAUGGACGCCCGCGGAUCCUUUUGUCUUUCUCAUGUCCGGCAGCCCGAUCACCAGACUGUUGGGAGCCCCAGAGAUAUAUGCUUCAGCGCAAAGGACGGCUCGCUUUCCCACCGCUCAUCAGAGUGGAACCCCUCGGUUGAUGCUUCAGCGGGAGGGGAAGGGGGCGCCUCCUCUUUCGUGGAGCCCAUGCGGGGUUGAAGAUGGUCCUCGCAAAAGAAGAACCGGGCAAGACACCGGUUGUGUAUGCCGACGUCGCCUCGGUGGUGGCCUUCAUGGGCCCCAGCGGCGGCGGCCUCCCAUGCUCUACUUCUCCUCGAUGAUGGUGGCCGACGCAGAGGCAUGGGCCACCGACUCAUCGCUCUCCGCGCACCCGACUUCUGUCUCUGCAUGCAUGGCUCGACUGCAUGCAGGGGAGGCACGGCCACAGAUAGGGCACGGGGGGCGUGGUAUGAUGUGACAUCAUCGACGGCAGCGACGACGCCUGUGCCAGCGUGGAGCAACUCACCACUCCUCAUCGAGCUAGCCUAGAGCUACGAGUUGUUGAGCCACGCGUCGGCUUGGGGCGGCAACUAGCUCCAACUAGCUGCCUCGCUUGUAUCCGGCGGAGGCAGUGAGAGGUUGUGUCUUCUUUGAGCCGCCUUCAAUGUGGGGCGGCGCGCUCUACAACGCCAUAAAUGCGGGCAACUGGCGCCGAGAGGGAAGCGUGCGAGAGGAGGGUUUGGUGGGUCAGGGCGGUCAAAAGCGGGUUUGUGAUCGGUCCGAACUCCCGCAAACCUCUUCAUGUUUGUCUACGGUUUGCGGACCGAUACAUAAUCAUGUUGGAUGGCUUUCAUGGUCCGGACAGUGCGGUGCAAACAGUUGCCGGAGGUUUGAGGGUCCGCGUUGAAGAUGCGCUAACAACUCUAAUCAUCGCACCAAAGAGGAUUGAACCUAAUUGAUUCUAUUGUUCCAAAUGUGUUGGGAACAAUAACACAUUUUAUUAGUACCUUUGCUUAGCGAGCCAAAAGUCCACCGGGAAAAGACGGUUCUACCCCCGGGGGCCCAAAAUAUCAAAAGGGGGAGAGAUUUCCCUGGCCGGUGGCACCACACGCGAAGCCUGACCAUUUCCAUUUCUGCCCCCGGUUCUUCCCCCCUCGCGCCCACCACGACGGCGGGCCGACGUCGUUCCCCUCCGCCGCCGCCGGCGCGCUGACCGCCCGCCGUGUCCCCGGCCGUCCUCCUCCCCGACGCCCUCGCCUCGCUCCUCCGGUUCGCCCACCAACCUACCAACCCGGGCCCCGAUCCGCGCGGAGGGAGGGGGGGAGGAGAUGGCGGUGGUGCUCGCGUGGCUCAACGCCAGGGUCGUCGACCCCCUGCUGCAGGUGAUCCAGAGGUGAGGCCCCCAGGCGCCCGGCUCUAGUUUCUGUUUCGUCGGCAUCUGGUCGCCGGUCUUCAUCGCUUCUGCUUUGGUGGUUGGCCGGUGCAGGGGCGCGGAGCCGAAGCAGCUCGCCUUCUCCGCCGCGCUCGGCGUCACCAUCGGGGUCUUCCCCAUCUGCGGUACGUACGUGUUUGCUCCUGGAUUUUCCCUUCUUCCCAUCGACCAAGCCGGACGUAUUAUUCAGUUUACCAACCGGGUUCAGAUUCGAUGGUUCAUUACGCGUGGCGUGUCGGCGCAGCAAUAUAGGAUCCGAUGUGUGCGUGUGCGGCCAUGGUUGACGAGAACACGGCUCAGCUCCUGGGAAACACAGGGAUGCACGGCACCAUGCUAUGAGCCGUUCAUUUACAUCUCGGGGACUCCAGGCGAUGUCUCUCCAUUCAGAUGUAUUCAGUGUUUUGCCUGCUGUGGUCUCAUAACUGAAUCGUGCGCGUCAUGUCUCCCUACCUUGUUGUCGUCAACAUGGUUGGGUUUAAGAUUUUACAGAGCUGAAUUGUCACAAAAAAACACCUGACAAAUUACAGCUAGUGGCUUAGGCAAACCCUCUUCCAAGUUGUUGAGGUUCAGUACUAGUCUGAUGGCACUGGUGUGCCAUACGACGUGUAGUUAUUGUACGCGUUUUGGUUGUAUUGCUAGUCUUUUCAUGAUAUUUCUCAAAGCAACUUGAUGUAACCUGACCCUUCAUUAUUGCAGGGACCACUGUUAUUAUCGGUGGACUUGCUGUGGCCAUGUUAGGAGCUCGUUGCAAUGCCGUUACUGUCAUGGUUCUCAAUUUAGCUGCCACUCCUCUUGAGCUAAGGUAAACACGCACUCAGCAUUAAAUACAGUAAAUCAAAUUCCAUUUUAUGAAUUAUUUAUAAGAAUAGUUGCUGGUUCUAUGUUGAUAUCUGGAAAUAGUUGUCGGUUCCGAGUUGAUCUUGAUUUAUAGGCAUAGUUGUUGGUUCUAUGUCAAUUUUUGAACUUAAAUUAUAUGAACAGUUGUUAGUUCCAUGCCAAUCUUUAUGUAUAGGAAUAGUUGUUUGCCCUCUGCCCUGCCAAAAGAUACAGACUUAAGCUCUAUACCACUAAACUAUGUUGUUUCAUUUAAAUACUACUCAAACUUCGUUCUGUCAUUUUCAUCCACUUAAGGCCAAUUUUUUGUUCUCUGUGCUAUCAUUUGCCCUUUCUAAAAACAAAUCACAUUCAUUUACCUUGUAUAUAAAAGUGAGGGUGUACAAGACUCCACAUAGCUCAAGUUGUGCUCAUAAGUCAUAACAUGGCAGAUUCGUGUGCUCAAUUACCUCUUUUGGGUUUGGUAGUCUCAGAUUCCUUGUUCAUAGGACUUUAUACGUAACAUGCAUUAGAGUGCUGAUACCCCAAAUCCGCUUUGUUGAUUAUGAUACUUGAAAAAAAGUGGCUGGUGUUAAUGCAUGUGUUGUCACUAGUUGCCUUGUAUGAUGGUCUCAAAAAAACAGAUAUCCUUUUCAUGACUUGUUUAAUGCCAAACAAAGUUCUUCAGUAGACUAAUGUAUUUUCUUUAGUUUGGCUUUACAGUUGCAUUGUGAUAGACGUUUCAAUCUAAAUGAUUAAAUAUAAUUGGGGGGUAAAUAUUAUGCCAAAAUAAGCUAUUUUGUAAGGAAAAAGUGGGAGGCCAUGCUCUAUAUCUCCAGGGACUUGUUUCUUUUUUAACAGGCUUUGAUCUUUGAAAUUUUGCAUGGAUACAACUUGCGACUUCCUCUGUUAAUAUUUAUUUAAAAAAUUGGAAAAUUUGUUCCCAAUGGUUCGCUUAUUUAUUGCAUUUUCAUUCCCGUUGUACCUAGCACAGCAAUCGUAAGCUAUAAGCGAUCAUUUUUAAUUUAUUUAGAGCUUUUUUUGAGAGAGAGAAAAUUUGUUCCCAAUGGUCACUGAUUUGUUGCAUUUUCACUCCCGUUGUACCUAGUGCAGAAAUUGUAAGCUAUAAGCAAUCAUAUUUUAAUUUAUUUAGAGCUACCAAUGAACUUUCUUUUCACCGGAUCCUCCCUAUAUCUGGUUUCAACGCAUUUGGCAGUGUCGUUUCCUGAUUACGUUUUCCUCAGCUUGAUCAUUCCUUUCUUGCGUUUGGGAGAAAUAGUCACGGGCGGUGAGCACUUCCCCUUGACAUCUGAUGCAUUCAAGAUGGUCCUCACUGGCCACGCCUCAAAGGACGUGCUACUCAGCAUUUUUCAUGCGGUUAGUAAAAUUGCUUCAGCCAUCAAGUUUACCUCACCCAUAAGAAAUGAGCAUUGUGUCGUCUUGUUCUCAGAAACAGUACCAUGACCGUUGCCAUUGUUGAACGAAUACAGAUUCUUGGCUGGAUUGUUGCUGCACCGUUUGUGAUGGCUGGGCUGUACACCUUGUCCGUCCCUUGUUUCAAGUACCUGGUCGGCAGGUUUGGCGUCAUCCCUUCGAGCCCCAGGACGCCGAUGAAAGCGGUAUAACGUAGCUGUUUCCCCCUAAAGCAACUUUAUUACGUUUCUGAAGCCGUGUGCGUGAAUUCCUUAUAUUGCCCGACUGAGACGGCCCGGCCGUCCUAACUUCUGAACGCCGGCGCACAAAUAGGCUUGCAGAGGCAUAUACUCGUAUCUGUUAGCGUGCCACAUGUUGAGCGGAGGUGGUGUAAUUCUCAAUAUAUUUUUAAGCUGUAGCAAACCUUUCCUUUUUUUUCUCUUCUUCUUACGAACAAGUGUGCGACUCGAUUCACCUGUUUCAAAACCGAUGAUAUUUAUUCAUUCAUUACUUUGGAAGCUAUGGCCUGUUCAUUUGGUUUGAGACAUGCUUCUGUUUUAUCUCUCCUAGGUUUUGCUUUGCCCGAAUGAAUCUGAAUCCGAAUCCGAAAAUGGGGCAGUACCGUUGCUCGUCCACGCCGACUGAUCUUGUGGCGCGUGUCAUCUGGACAUCAUCAGCCAUUCUCACCUGCAUUUGUGUCUCAUGGCACCAUGUUAUGUAAACUGUGGGCAUGUUUGUGUUGUCUGACUGUAUUGUGUUAACUGUUACGUACUCCCGAUAGGGGCAGCUCGCGUAUUCUCGCGGAGCUGUAGGCUGAUAUGUAUAUAUAGUAUAUAUAAAGGUAACAAUUGUUGUGUAUGAUGCUAUCUCUAAUAAGUACUACGAUACAGCAACAUGGAACAUCUGCAAUGCACAGGAGUUCGGACGAGCCUGACUUGCACGUGAUUCUGGAGCAAUAACCAUGCUUUGAGAAGAUGUAAAUCCUCUGAGCAACUCGCCGUUAAGAAAGUCAUUCCGCAUAAACAUGUGAGAUGGAAUGCCACAGGAAGAAGAUGGUGAACAGUGGUCACAUGAACAACAGUUUUAAGACUGUCAUAUUAUAUGACACUAAAAAGAAUGGAGGCCUUCUGGGCCUUAUGGACAGUUUGAUCAUGAGGCUGGAUUCUCCUGCUCCCAUAUGUUUAUUGCCAUAUACUCACUCCUUUCCUAAAUUUUUAAGUCUUUUUAGAUAUUUCAAUAUGGACUAGUACAUACGGAGCAAAACGAGUGAAUCUACGCUCUAAAAUAUUGUCUAUAUGCAUCUGUAUGUAGUCCAUAAUGAAAUCUACACUCUAAAAAUAUGUCUAUAUAUACUACAUGUUGCAUUCAUUCCACAUGGAGAUUGUUAAUCAAACUCUCCUGCUAAGAGCAACUCUAGCAGACCCCGCACAAACUUGACCCGCAAAACGCGUUUGCAGUUUCACGAAGAUCGCGUUUGCGGGUCGGAAACUAGCGCGGCCGAACAGAUACUGUAAAACUGGAAUAAAGAGCUCCUUCCUCCAGUCCAGCCGUUGCCGCCCCUUCCUCCAGCCCGCCGCGCCCCGUCCCUGCCGGUCACACCCUUCGCCUCCGUCGUCCGCGCCUAGCCUUGCCGGCCACGCCUUGCUCUAUUGCCAGGCGAGCCAUGCCCCUUUGCCUGCCGCGUCGGGAGGAUUUCGGCGGCCAGGCUGAGGUCAUGGGAGGCCACGACGAUGUCGAGCUCGUCCAAUUCGAACCGGCGGCGAUCGAUUGCGGCGUCUAGCGGCCUUUUCCGAUGUGCGGUGAUGAAUUCCGGCGAGUUUAGGGCAGAUUCCGGCAAACUCUGCGGCGGCGUGUUUGCUCCGACGAGGCUUGACCUGUAUACGGGGCCCCCUAUAUUCAGCCCUCCAACCUCCAAAUAUAAGGGUUUCGGGCGUGCAUUUGCGGUGGCCCUUAAAAAUUUUACGGGUUGGACUACUUUUACGGUUUCUGUUCUGGACAUUUUUUUCGCCCAAAACUGUAAAACACAAAUUUUUUGCGGGUUUGACCACUUAUGCGGGGUCUGCUAGAGAUGCUCUAAGUAAUUCCAUGAUGGAAAUCAUUUAGCUUUUAUCACCUCCAACUUCUCAUUGUGCAGUAAACUUGCACUAAAGCAAGAAAGAACAAAUAAUUUGGCCACCAAUUAGAGAGCCCAGAUGCAAAACCUCAUCGUAACAUGCUGCAGCAAACUAGCUCCAAGAGCUUUUCUUCAGCUGCCUCUUCUCACUUUGUCAGCAAGGAGCAUUAGGAGUGGGUGGGUGCAACAAAAAUCAUCUCUUCCAAUAGCACAUACUGGUCUGAAAUAUAUAUAGCAACAUGGACAUACAAGACUAGUUUUGGUUUACCUGUUGAUCCAAAGGAGACCGGGAUAUAACCACCUCUUACAAUCACGUAGUCUGAUCGCCGACCAACAACACAGGAGGAGCCCCAUAUCAAACACACGAUCAUCGGUCGAUUCGUACCAAUAAGGUAUUAAUUUGUGCAUCAAGAAGCGAUAGUUUUUUGAACAGAUAGUGGCUACGACGACAUUACGCAUUCGAAACAACAUAACUGAAGAAAUAGCCAUAAGGAGGGGAGGGGAGAGUCUCUAUUGCUACCAGUACCAAGUACCAACAGAUACCUUGAUAUACCUGCUGCUUAUGCGCUAAGAGCAUGUCUGCCUGUCGACACGACACAUAUAUAAUAGGGUUGAGGAACCAUGUUGGAUGGAUCACCAGUAGUCGCCGCAGGAGCACUUGCCCUCCUUGAAAUGGUGGAACCGCUUGUUGUCCCUCACGAUGAGCUCCCGCCCCACGAUCCUCGACAUGAUCUUGAUGGCGUUGUGGCAGUCCCCGCAGAUCCUGAGGUUCUUGAUGAUGCGCAGCGGGGUCCUGGCCGGGGUGCUGAUCAGGCCGUAGGCGAUGGCCAGCCGCUCGCUGUGGUACAGCAGCGCCUGCUCCUUGGCCUCCUGGUCAAUGUCGUGGAGCACGUACCUCGUGUCGGGCACGUAGCGCUGCUCGUUCACCACCUUCUUCUCGAUCUUGGGCGGCAGCCUGUACUCCCCCAGCUUGUUCCUCCCGUCCAGCAUGUUGAUCCCGAGCCGCCGCUUCGGGGGAGGGGUCGGGAGCUUCUUGGGGUUGGCCUUGGAGGGGUCGAGCGAGACCAGCAGCUCCUCCGCCCGGUCCUCGAGGUCAAUGUCGCCGUUCAUGCGCGCCAGGUUCAGCAGCGACUCCCAGAUCAUGGCGUUGGGCUCGAACGGCAGCUUCUCGAUGUACUCCACGGCCUCGUUGAGGUGCCCCGACUUGCCCAGCACCUCGAUGACCCCAACAUAGUGCUCCAUGCCGGGCUCGAUGCCGUGGUCCCUGGACAUGGCGUCGAAGUAGAGGAAGGCCUCCUCGAUGGCCUCCGAGUUGGCGCACGCGUCGAGCACGAGCGCGAAGGUGCGCGCGGUGGGCGCCAUGCCGCACCGCUUCAUCUCCUCGAAGAGCUGCAGCGCGGCGUCCCCUAGCCCGUUGCCGGCGUAGCCCUCGAUCAUGAGGUGCCAGGAGGCCAUGUCCCGGUCAGGCAUAUGGUCGAACGUCCUGCGUGCGUGCGUCAUGUUGCCGCACCGGCCGUACAUCUCGAGGAACCGGUUGUUGAGCUGCAGGUCGGCCCGGAACGGCGAGCGGAGCAGGUAGUCGUGCACCUUGCGGAGCUCCUCGAGCAGCUUGGGCGUGGAGCAGGCGCCGGCGAGCUCGUAGAAGGACGCGGCGUCGGCGCGCGCCCCCUUCUCGAGCAGCUCCACCGCCUCCUUGGCCCGCCCCUCCCUGCACAGCGCCAUCAGCUUCUCCGGCCCCGCCGCGGGCUCGGGCGGCGGCGGCCCCUGCUGCUGCUGCUGCUGGAGGUAACUGUUCUUCGGCGGGGGAGGGCCCUGCUGCUGCUGCCGAGGGGCCGGGGCGGGCGGCGGCGGCCCGUAGCCGUGGCGCGGCGGGGGAGGGGGAGGCCCCUGCCGCUGCUGUUGCUGCUGCUGCGGGUAGUGAUUGCUCCACGGCGGGAUAGGAUCCAGCUGCUGGGGCGGGGGCGGAGCCGGGGGAGGCGGCCCGUAGCCGUGGCGAGGCGGGUAGUUGCUNNNNNNNNNNNNNNNNNNNNNNNNNNNNNNNNNNNNNNNNNNNNNNNNNNNNNNNNNNNNNNNNNNNNNNNNNNNNNNNNNNNNNNNNNNNNNNNNNNNNNNNNNNNNNNNNNNNNNNNNNNNNNNNNNNNNNNNNNNNNNNNNNNNNNNNNNNNNNNNNNNNNNNNNNNNNNNNNNNNNNNNNNNNNNNNNNNNNNNNNNNNNNNNNNNNNNNNNNNNNNNNNNNNNNNNNNNNNNNNNNNNNNNNNNNNNNNNNNNNNNNNNNNNNNNNNNNNNNNNNNNNNNNNNNNNNNNNNNNNNNNNNNNNNNNNNNNNNNNNNNNNNNNNNNNNNNNNNNNNNNNNNNNNNNNNNNNNNNNNNNNNNNNNNNNNNNNNNNNNNNNNNNNNNNNNNNNNNNNNNNNNNNNNNNNNNNNNNNNNNNNNNNNNNNNNNNNNNNNNNNNNNNNNNNNNNNNNNNNNNNNNNNNNNNNNNNNNNNNNNNNNNNNNNNNNNNNNNNNNNNNNNNNNNNNNNNNNNNNNNNNNNNNNNNNNNNNNNNNNNNNNNNNNNNNNNNNNNNNNNNNNNNNNNNNNNNNNNNNNGGCGGCGGCGGAGGGGUGGUAGGCGUGGGACGAGGAGAGGGCGCGGGCGGGGGUGAGGAGGUGGAGGAGGGAGCGGGACCUGGAGGAGACGAGCGCGACGGAGCGCAUCGGGCCGGCGGCCCGGUGGAUGGCGGCGGCGGCGGCGGCGGUGGCCAUGGCGGCGCGAGGGGCGGAGAAUGGGGAUUCUGGUGGGGAGAAACCGUACGGGGUUUAUGCGAGCCGGACGGAUGAGAUAUUUCCGGGCUCGCGAAUGGGCCGUGCGCUCGCGUGAGCCUCACUGGGCCUGUGCCGCCGUGUUAGCCCUCAACAAAUUGCUCUUCUUUUUUUCUCAAAAAAAUUGUUUCUCUGUUUUUGCAUAACUUCACAUGAUGUUUUUUUUUGGCAUAACUCCAUUUCACGUCAAUGAAAAUUGCAUGAACACCAUACUACGUACUAGUAGUGUUUAGAAAGUGUAUUGUUUUGAACAAAUGUCAACAACAACAACGACAAAUUAUCUUCAGCCAGGUCUAUGGAAAACACUACUAAAUAUUUAAUGUUGCAAAAAAAAAGGGAAAGUAUAUUUGAUGAUGCAUCUAAAGAUACAAACCCUGCACUGUAGAAGUUGGUAUUAUUUUGUACGAAUUUGGAGACCUCAAUACGAAACAACAAAUUUUCUCUAGGUUUUAAGGAAUUCUGAAAAAAAAACACAUACAUAUGGAUAUAUAUUACUUGUCUGCAAAGUUCAUGGCAUUUAUAUACGAGCUAUACAAAAAAUCACAUAUUUCUAGCACAUGUAUUAUUCACUAUAAAAGUAAAUGUUUUUUUGCAAAGCACGUCAAAACAUAUUUCAUGAUGAAUUUUACACACAUCCAGCAUGCAUCUAUAAGUACACUUAUACACCCUUUGUUCCUAAAUACAGGAUGUACAUCUUGCAUUUAGAAACAUAAACAAUAUUUAUCUUCAGAUUUUUGAAAACUUAAAAAGUUUUUUCUUUUGAAUUUUUGGAAAUUUCAGGCUCCAUGAAGCCUGAGAGCAAAAAAUCCACCUGCGAAUAUAUGAAGCAUCAUGGAAAUGAAGCUAACUAAAGGACGUUUAAUAAUACAAUCUUAAUACCCUAGAAAAUCUUAAUAGGUUUAUUGAUUGUUCAUUCAAAGAGAUACCCUAGACAAAGAAAACAGAAAAGAAAGGAGGAAACGAUCUGUACAGGGUUGCCCAAACGAAGCUACAGCAAAGGUUCUCACUUCUCAGUCUCAGGGGAUGAUGAUGAUGAUCACGCAUGAUCAAUCAGCACUGCUCUCUCUCUCUACCGCCUACAAUGCAAAAUGAAGCGCAAUGCAAUGCAAUGUCCUACAGGAAAUGCCCAUCAUGCUAUCUCUACUGCCCUCGGCCGGGGCCGAGUUCUCGGGGACGCCCUCGCUCGUCGACGACGCCGUUCUUCAGGGCUGGAACCUCGCCGAGGGCCCCGAGUCGCCGCUCACCUCGAACUCGCUCGAGCUCGCCUUGGACUCGGCGUCCGCGUUGCCACCGCCGGCG
rnacentral:lncRNA from 1 species